UUUUAACUUAGAACUCAAGGAAACGAGAUAAAAAUUAUGAAAAAUCUUCAACUCGAAUAAGGAAAUCAGCCCAACAGAGAGCAAAUUUAAUUACAGCAUCUGCUAUCCUGUUGCAAACCUUUGAGAUAUGACAAAUGUGAAAUUUUCGUUUUUGUUCAAUAAGUUACUAAAUUUUUUAAAAUAAUCUAAAACAGCUUAGUACGAAUAUGAAGCUCACAUGAAAACAACUUAAUUAUAAGAAACAAAUCUAACUCAACUAAUAAUGAAAAUAAAUCAAUCUCUAGUGUGUUGCAAACCAAAGCAUAAGUCUUUCGCCUCAACAGCGUCAACAUCAUCUGAAUAAACCCAAUAUCAACACCCGCCACCAUCCCCAAAGCCCAAACCCUCAUGAUUUUUAGCACCACCACCAAUUAAAAGUUAAAUCUAUUUCUGCAUCAGUAUAAAGCUUUAAACCAACCCAAUUGUGGGGGCACCCAUGCUACUGUAGAAAGAUUCUUUGUCGCCAGAUCUGCCCCACGGCAACCCAGUUCACAGAAUUACGUGAGUCCCGAAGGCCCCUCAGCCUUUAGCCACCACACAAGAAGGCCUCGUUAGCGUCCCUUCACACGGCAUCUUAUUCCGAUCUAUCUCCCCAGAUUCCCCACAUAAACAACGUAGACAACUGUGGAAUUCAGCAUCAGACAAAAGCAGAUUGGAAAAAUUCAAAGCCACCCCUCUAGCAUCCAAAAUUGCAACGCAAAACAGUCUUGGCAAAAGAUGUCGGAUUAAUCCACACCUCUUUAAUUACCAUGCUGACAACAAACUCCCGAAAUAGACAACCAGCGCCUUGAGGCCUUGAGGCCUUGAGACCCCAGUAGAUUGUAGAAGCUUCAGCAGUAGCACAAGACAUAUUCUUUAUCUGCGCGGCCAAAAAAUUCGAUCCGGACAAUGUCUGCUUUUGAAAUUUCGAAAGGGAAAUAUUGGAAUUAAUUAGCUUUACAAAGAAAGUCGGAAGUUAUUGUCGCCAAAACUCAAAAAGUGUGAGUUGACAAGCUUAGCUGAUAAUUUUUCUCUCUGAUUUUUCCGUAAUAUAUAAAAGGGUUUUGUUAUAUUACAUAAUUAUGUAACAUAAAUAAUUAUGUAGCAGCCGUUGGAUGAAAAUCCAACGGUUGUGAAAAUAAUAUGAUUUUAUUAUCUUAUAUUUCCAUAAUUGUUGGAUGAAAAUCCAACGGCUGCUACAUAAUCAUGUAACAUAACACUCUCGUAUAUAAAAAGUUUGGGUGAAAAAAAUUAACUAAUUUUCUGUGAUAUUAUACUUAAAGCAAAAAAAAAGUUUGUGGUGCCAAAAUAAUUUCAUCAACACUCUAGAAUUUCGGUCCACGUUAAUUAUCCCAUUUGAAUAAAUUAAUAACAUUUUGAGACAAAUCGAUAAACAUUUAGGCAGUGCAGUGCUUAAUCUGAAGCAAAGUAGAACAAAUUUAGCAAUUUCUAUUACAUAUGAAAUAUGACAAUAGGAUUAACUAUGGUUUUGGGAAUAAAUACCGCAAGUAUCUGCAAAAAGGUGGCACAAUUGAGUGUGUGGCUGUGUGCAAGAUAAGGAUUUGGAAAAUGAAUAUUGAAUAGUUUGACAUUCGGCUUCUAUUGAGAUUGGCUGUUUGAGAGAAAUUAAUAGAGGGAACAAAUUCAAGUGGCCCAUUUGACGUGUUUUUCCAAUUAUAUAAACGCGAAAAUUGAGUUAUCAUGAAAUAGACUUGGGGUUUUCAUUGCUUGAUUGACCGUAUAAUCAAAUAGAACUGAACUUUGCAAAGACAAGGUAAGAAAACUAAUUUGCUUUGAACAAAUUUUACAAAACUUUUGAUUUUCGUGGAACCCAAAACUCCCAUGAGUCGUGUGGUCCAAAGACAAAGAAAAUCGAACCAAUUUGAUUGAUGUUAGGGGCCCUACAAUUCAACGGCUUCUUUAAUCUUUUUGACAUGCAUGAGAGACUUUUUGGAUAUUGGUUUUAGCUUUUGAAGUAAACAAAAUAACGAUUGCGUUUUUUAAACGCUCACUACGACAUAAUCACAUAAAGGAGACGGCACAGCAAAUAGGCAGUGUAUUAAGCUCAGCAUCAAAAGAUUGGAUUGGAUAUUGGAAAAGAUGUGAUACCAAAGCAAGGAACCCAUAGAAGCCACGAGCUAAAUAUGUUGAAUACUAGCACCCUAUCGUUUCUUUCACACGUUCCCCGAAAUUAAUUUGUCCUUUUUUUAUUUUUUAUUUUAUAUUUUCCUUCUCUCUCUCUCUCUCCCUUUACAUACAGUCAUUAAUUUGCCUCAAAAUGCCGACAAAAGUUGUACAAAAUUUUACAUAUACAAGGAGUUAGAUUUACGUUUCCAAAUAGUUAAAAAGAAAGUAAUUUAGCACCCGAUUAAUAGAAACUUUAGAGAUCAUGAAGUAAUUAUAUAUUAUCUUGGUUGGGAAGAAAAGAAAGAAAAAAGUUGAAGAAGAUCUUUUUUUUUUUUUUUUAUGAGAAAAAAGUUGAAGAUAUUAAUAUGGCAAGUAGGGUUUGAUUGCUACUCAUCAUUUGUCUUGCGCAACAUGCAUGAUUAUGGAAAGAGAAGGAUAAAAAAAAAAAAAAAAAAAAACUGGUUCCUGUUUCAUGAUGGAAUCUAUGUUGUUGUCCAAAUAACUGAAUAAAAAUCAAGCUGAUCCCUCACUCUUUGGAGGCUUGUUAAUGAUACAACCUUUCCAGUAUAGUCUUGAGCGUUACGUACAAGUGCCUAGCGCGUGCGUUUUUAAUGAAGGUCCGAUAGGAAGUGAUCAAAUUGAUUAAAUGUAUAUGUCAAUUUUCUUUUAAGUUUUUUUCGGUGGCGAAAUUUGGAUUCUGAUUUGACACAUUUAUAAGUCACAAAUAAAUUUGAGUAGGUUAUAACAUAAAAAUAUAAAAUUAAAUAGACAAUGAUGAGGAUUAUAAUGUAAAAAGAAGAAUAUAUAUGUGUUACAUAAUAUCUGUACAGAUGAAGGGACUAAUCGUGAAAUAAGAAUAACAGAAAUACCCUAAAUUUUGUAUACAAUUUCAGUCAAAAUUCUUAUCUUCCUGUAAAGCUCGAUGUAAUCCAACCAUUUUACACAUAUAUCAUCAAGUAUCAAUCAAUACAUUAUUCUUUUCUUUUUUUCAUUAUCCAUCUCUAAUCUCAUUACUGCUACCUACUAGUCUCAACAGUUCGUACACGUGGCAUGAUCUUACUCAAGCAACUGGACCCACCUUAAAGGGCUAGAGGGGAACCUAAGAGCAUCACCAAAAAACUCUUCAAAUAAGAUUUUAUUACUUAUUUGGAGAGUCACAUCAAUAUUUAAAGCUCCAAAAGACACUCCAAUUAAGAUUUUUAAAAUAAAAAUUGAUUCUCUCUCUUCAAAUUUGGAGAGUUAAUUUCUCUCUCUUCAAUUUAUAUAUUUUUUUCAUUGAAGAAAGAGAGAGAACUGCUUUAAUUGUUAUUGAUUUUUCCUUUAAAAAACUAACUAUAUGAUUAAAAUAAUAUUAACUUAUUUAUUUUUGAAGAGUCUUUUGGAAAAUAUCAUAUUUUUUUUCACCAUUCUAUUUGCCACAUAGGUAAGCAAAUAGGUAUUUGAAAAGUAAAGUUUAUAGAGGUUUUUGAAAAUGCUCUAAGAGAUUUGUAGUCAUUUUCAUCUCUGUAGUAUCUCAUUGCGCAACGUAUGGGGUAGAGAGAUCAAGUCAUUUGACUUGUAUCCACUUUCAUCAUUGUUUUUACGGGCAUGAUUGGAAUUUUAAGCAAAAGAAAGGGUAUAUUUGGGUUUUUAAAGAUUCUUAACUAUAGAACUACCCUGCAAAAUCUUGAAAAGACCAAAAUGAGCUCCAUGUCACGAGAUGAAGAUUUUGUGCAACUAUUCCAUGAGGUACUUAAACAAUCUAGUUUGAUAGUUGUUAAGUAAGCAUAUUGAACUUCUCGAUUAGUUAAGUGCGAAAGAGGUAGAGAGAAUAGUGAGCAAUUGAGCCAAAGAGAAUUAGUGUUAUUCAGAAGAGUGUCUGUACAAGAGAGGUUAAUAACUUACAAGGCUUCAUGCUUGAGUUGCUUGCUCUUGUUGUGUAAUGCCAAGCGUCAUGCACCUAUUUAUAGGGGAGGCCUUACCUAGAUCUAGAAUGUUCUAUGUCUAGAGCGUUCUCAAGACUUAGUGAGAGCUCUCAUAUCUAAAAAUGCCUAGAAAUUUCUAUAUACAUGCUACUCUAGCUAUUUUCAAAGACUUCCUAUCCAUGUAUAAGUUAUGAAAGUGCGCUGGAGUGUGCCAUAACUGGAAGCUUUUAAGAUCAAGCCAAGCUAGCAUACCUUGACUUGCAAACUUAGCCUCUUGGCUGGAAUUUUGAGUAAUCCGUGACAAUCGGCUGAGCUAAAUAUGAGAAAUUGUAUUUUAUGAUCGCAAAGUUAAGAAACAAAGUCAUCUGGUCAAUGGGUGCAUGGCCCACGUCAACAACCAUCACCAAAACAACUUUCUAUGUUGAGUCCAACAAAACAAUCGCUUGCCGAUUAUAUUCUUCUUUUUAACUGUUUUUGCUCUUUGGCUUUACCAAUAUAGUCACUUUUUUAUUAAAAAAAAACCAGAAAAAAAGAACAUGAUUUUGAUCGCCUAAAAUAAUAUCAUUUUUAAAAAGAAAAAUUCUUCAAAUUUUCUCGGCCUUUAAACGUGAUCGAUCACUAUUUAUUUAUUUAUUUAUUUUUCAUUUUAUACAGCGAAAAAUAAUUGAUGGUGUGGACCUCAGCGGGUGGGCCAAAAUGUUUUUGUCAAACGGAUGAGAAGACAAGUGGGGAAUAUGAUGCGUAAUUUGGCUAUUGUCCACUAUUGAAGUGUAUUGUUGUCCAAUCUUUCCAUUUUUGGAUAAAACGGAAAGAAAACGAAAAUAGUGGUGCCCCUAUUUUGUUUUCUUUUUCCCAAGUGAUAAAAUGAAACUAAAACAAAAAAAUGGUCUCAAAACCAUUAGCUGGGCUGGUCGCCUGGUCCACCGGCGCACCUGCAAGUCCCAACCAUGUAAAAUCGAUCAUAUCACUCGCUGUAAAAGGGGUCAUCUCAUAUAAGUUCACAAACUCGCAUUGGGAUUUGGGCUUCGCAGCCCAGAGAUUUCCAAACAAGAGCAAGUCUCCAGUCGAGCUUUUAACAGGCCUCUAAAAUCCUUAUAGCAUCCCUUUUAAAUUUAUUUCUUAGAAUACCUUCAGUUAAAUUAAUAAAAUAUAAAUUUAUAUAUUAAAAUUAGUUAUUUUCUCACAAAAUUUUAACCAAAUUUUUUUUUUAAAAAAUUACAUACAAAUCCUAAAAUAUUCAAUUUAUUUUAAUUUUUUUCUUCUUAUUAUAUAAUUUCAAUUCUCAUAAUCCUAAACUCUUAUAACUUUCUCUAAAAAAUAUUUUUUAAUUAGAAAUUAAAAUAUAGAUAUAAAUAUAAAUCAUGAAAUGGAGUGGAGUGGGUGUAAAAAAGUUUCUCAAAAGAAUAAUUUAUCAAAUUCAUGUUUUGUUAUUUAAGUAAUUUCAAUUUAAAAAAAUUUAUAAGGAAUUUUGAGAGGUGUCAAAAGGCCUACUCAUAAGUUUCACGUGUAUUGACCUAUAUUUGAAAUUACUAAUGGAAGGUAAAGUGAUUUUUAUAAGAUAAAAAGAUAAUAUUGCUAUUCAGUAAAAAAAUUUUAAAAGCUUAUAUGGCUAUAUCAAUGCUCUCUUCUCUCUCUCUCUCUCCAAUUCUCCUUUAGCAUGUUCAUUCUUUGCCCUAUUUAUUAUCAAUUAUUUUGAGAGAACAAAAAAUAAAAAAAAUUAUAAAAUACAAAUAUUAUUUCUUUGAUGAUCGACAAUUAUACAUACAAUAUUAAGAAAAUAUAUUAAACUUGUACAUGUGUGAGUAAGUUUCAUUUUAUAUUAUAUCUAUUUUAAUCAUUUGCAUUAGUUUAAUAAUAAGAUUUGUCAAAUACAUAUAAUUACUUUUAAAACUCAACACUUUUAAAAAUAAAACUUAUCAAACAGUUAAUUAUUGAUUCUCUUCACAACUUAAUUAUUUUUAAUUUUUUACAACACAACUAUCUAAAAUCAUCUUAAAAGCUACGAUUAAUAAUUGAUCCUUAGUUAAUUCUUUAAAUACCCAUUUUGCACUUAAUAAUAGUAAAAGAACUAAUAAAUUAAUUUUUUUUAAAAAAAUUAAGAACAUCAAUGUAUUUGAUUUGAGAAGGAUAAAAUACACACUCAAAAUGAGCUAAAGGUAACGGGAACUUGGUUUCUUUUCAUUAAUCAUCAUUAUGAUUAAGGUUUUAAAGAUUUUUUUAAUCAAUUCGUAGCCCAUAGAUUUAUAAUAUAAUAUAAUAUAAUAAACAUGACACUACCAAAUCUUAUUUUAUUUAUUAAUUAAUUAUACAAAAGGCCAUUGCUUAAUUAUUUAUUUAUUUGUUAAUUGGUUUACUUCAAAUCUGAAACGAUUAUCAAGGUUGUUUUGCAGGGAUUUUUAUAGAAGUUCGUUCUCAAAGAUACCGACGUUUUGUACUAUGAAUUUUAUUAUUUCAAUAUUUUAAGGCAAAAUAAGAGAGACCAUAAAUAAAGCUAUGACUAAUCCUUGUCGCUGUCCAUGCCCAGCAUGUUCUUUUAAUAUUUUAACUAUAAUACAUGAGUUUUUGUUGGUUAUUUUAUUUUUAUAAUAUUAAAGUAGCCUUACAUGAAUAAUGAAUUUCAUGGACUAUCUUAGCUUUCAUGUAACUUUCAAACGCAACAUUUAUAAAUAAAUUAGAAAAAAAAAACUAUAGAAAUGUGAAUUAAAGUAUUCAUGACCCAUGUGAACCGAUCAGUAGAUGUCCCAUAACUAAUCAUAAAUCAAUGAACUAUUAGACAAGCAUUGGUAGCUCGAACAAUAAUCAAAGGUUUGAAGACUAAAUAAAAACCUAAUAUUAUAUUAUAUUAAUUACUUGGAAAAGAAAAGGAGAAUGAUGCGUUGCGUGUUCGGUGUAUGUGUAUCACGUACGUGAAAGAAAAAGAAAAUUUUGAGACAGGCUAUGUCAAAAUUCAAACCAAUUAUGUCAAAUUGAUAUAUCAAUCUUAGGUGUCUUCGAAGCUGUGUUGUCUUCUUUUGUCACAGCAUGCAUUUUUUUUUUUUUUUUUUUUUGGUUGUUUAAAUCUUAAAAGUCAGCUGGUUAAUUCUAUAUUAAUGUUGCGAAUUUAUGGGCAAUCAUUGCACCAGGGCCAUGGGCGACGUAUAGAAGGCUUGCUUCCUCAUGAAUCAAUAGCUAAACUAUGUAAAUCUUGCUUCGUGAAUUUGUCUAAUGUCAGCUUCGGAGAAGUAACAAACAGGAGGAAGCAAUUCAUUUUGCAUAAGAUACUGUAAUAUAAAUCUAAAUUUGCUGUAUCUAACAAAAUCUUGCACCGCUUUGUUCUCUGUAUUUAAUUAAUCAGAUUUCAAUCCAACAAGGGGCAUCCUCUAACACUUCAAGCAAUUUGGAAAGGAUCUAUUCCGCACCAAAACUGAAGAUCACAAUAGGGUUUGAGCUUCAAAGAAUGUGGUGGUGGUAUAUUAUAUCUUCAUAGAUACUUCAAACGGCAUGAUCUUAAGGGUUCCUGUUGUCUUGACGACUGUUGGCAUUCUAUAAGCUACCCAUCCAAUAAAUCAACUUUUAUUAACUGCCUACAACAACUAUGUUCAACUGAGGAAAUGAACAUUUUACCUAAGCAGCUAAAUCCACGCACUUGACUGCAUAAUUCUAAGAAAUGCAAGUCCUGUGCUCGCACUAUCAUAACUCAAUGCAUGGAAAAUUCACGCAGCAAUUAUCAGCCAAAAGGCAAACUGCCUUGACAUACUCCUGAUUUCUUGCUUCAGCGACAUCUUCUCCCUUUCACUCUCAAUUUUAAAACUUCUACAAUAUCAAAAGCUUAUCGCUACCUAAUGAUUACUUUCAAAAGUAUAGACACAAGUAAAUUUAUUAGAUUGAGGAAAGGAACUUCUGUUCUAUGAUUAUAACAACCAGUUUGAACCAAAUAACCUGAAAUUAUACCAUGAUAUGGAGUAAGGCGUCAGAAUGCACAAUAUCAAAUCAGCAUGCAAUCAAAAAUUCACUCAAAAUAAACUGAGCUUUCUGGUAAGAUCAAUGUCAUUAAAAGUUCACAUUUGUUGUCAGAUAUACAACAAACUAUCGCCCUCUUAACCAGAAGAUAAUGUAGCUUCUCAUAUGAAAACACCAAAAUGCCAUAGUAACAAUAUCAAGUCCAGAAAUGUAACACUCCACUAAACUUUCCAGAUAGAUGUUUUCUACUUCUUGGAAUACAAGUCUUGUUCAUAUACUAGACGAAGAACAAGCAGAGGACUCACAGGCACAACAAUUUGCAGGGAAUAAGGCAUAAAAGAGAUGCCAACAACAUAGUUCAAUAUAUUUAUUCACUUAUUAAGUAAAGCAAGUUGGAACCUCUAUAGUAGAGUGUGAGUUGCUAAAAAACAACCCCCUGCUUGCCAAAUAUUUACACCUCAGCACCUCCAAGCUGAUGCAGAGAUAAGUUCCCGCUGCUGCCAACAGAGGACAAGUGAGGCCUGGCGCUUUUCAACAUGAAAGCCCCUCACUGGAGUCCUCUUCACCACACAUUCUGCCUGAGUUUCGGUGAAGUUACUGAAUGUUACGGGGGAAAACCCAGCCGAUGCAAAGAGUGUUUUCCACAUUGGCAUUCUGUCCGGGCCCCUGAGCCGCCCCAAUACCACACUUUCAAUUCUAGGCUGAAGAAGGAACCUCUCAAUCUUAUUGAGAGCGUCAGGCAUCACGUUAACAGCAUCAAGCGAUUCCAGUAGGUUUAUAUAUGAUUGGAGGGCAUGAAGAAUAUGUUCCGGGAAAGGCAAGUCACUUUUAUCACAUCCUCUAUCUGCUGAUACCACAAUUUUUGGCGAAAGCUGCUUCACAAAGCGAAGGAGAGAGGGCAGUGCAGAGGGUUGAUUCGAAGAAGACCAAAUAGGGAAAUUCACAGCAACAGCCUCAUUUUCACUUGACUGGAGAAUGGGCAGUGUGUAAGAGGUUUGAUCUAAUGACUCAAAGUUAAUCACAUCAAGCUCAAAACUAACACCAAUCGCAUUAGCAAACUGAGUCAGAUUCUCACGCAUAAGCCCCAGCUCUAUAUGAUGGUGAGUGGAAGGAGAAGCAAAGGCAGUGAUUUUCAUUGAAGGAGUACCCCUAUUACUUCUCAUUGAGAGCUCCUGCAUAAAUGAAGCCCACUGAGCACCGAAGCCAAUAUCAAAGUCCACAAUGUGGAUUCUGUCAGCAUCAUCAAGAGCCUCUAAAAGAGCCUGGUUGCAAGUAAAGUUGAUGAAUUGAAUAAGAGGAGACACUUCAGAGAACACCUUGUAAGCUCCCAUUUUAAAGAUAACAUCAACUGGAGUAGGGCUUCGUGGUGGUGGGUUGGUGACUUGGUUGUUCAUGAGUAGAAACAACUGCAAAGCCUCUUUGAAGUAGAAAGCAGCCCUUUGAAGGGGCUUACCUACAGGAAAAACCUGGUGAUUGAGCCGCGCCAAUAUCCCUUGCGCGUGUGAGAAAUUCCCAGUUCCCACCAACUCUGCAGCCUUGUAGAGCUGGUCGAGUAAAGCAUGUUGUUGCCGAGACAUCUCUUCACUCCCUGGACUUAAAACCUUCUGCUUUGCUGAUACGAUCAAACUUUUUUGUUGAAAAUGCUGAGGAAGAAAAUGCACAUUUUGAUAAAAACCCAUUUGUUGUUGAUGGUUUCUGAGCAAGAACUCAUGGCGUGGAUCAGAGAAUGGUGGUUUGGGGACGUGAGGAGAGGAAAGGUCUAAACUUCCUCCUGAGUUGUGGCGCUUUGGUUGUGGCUGAAGCAAGUGGCUAUGGUGGUGGUUUUCUUGGUGCAAAGGAUAAGCACUCACAGGGAAAAAAAAGUUCGGAUUUUGAUGGUGCUGAGACUGCACCUGUUGGUUAUUCAUAAAUAUCUGAGGAUUGAGAAUCUGUGGCUUCUCUUCAGGGGCUUCAACAAAGUUCUGAGACUGCUGGAUAUUCACACCAGGAGGCAAAGAAACUGGCGCAAGAGACACAUUACUGCUAGUUGGCGAACCAAAAAUUGGAUUUUGGUAAUUACAAUUGUUGUUGCUGUUGCUACUAUUCAAUCCAACACCAGAAACUACCUUGUGAUUGAGAUUAACCAAACCAGGUGAAGAACCAAUCUUCCCAUUCCCAUUGUUAUUUGAAAGCAAUUCAGAACCAGAAAAAGCACAUAAAUUAGUAGCAAUAAAAUUACCAGAUGCAAGGCUGCCACCCCCACCAACUGACUCAAAGUUUGGAGGUUGAUCAACAAACCCCAAGCCACCACCGCCAGCAUUGCCAUCAAAAUCAACAAAAGGGUUUUGACCAUUCCCAUUUCCGCCACUCUGCAAGAGCUGCUUCAGCCCAAACGGCGAGUCGUCCACAUCCCCGGCGAUCCACUUUAAGAUAGACUGUUCUUGACCGGAUUCCGAUAACAUGGUCUCCCAAUCUUCCAAGCCAAGACCGCAUCUUUCAGCUCCAGUAGGAAUCACCUCCAAGCCGUUUGGAAUCGACAGCAACUCAGUAGCCCACUCAUCUUUCCUUUCAUUGUUUAGCAAAGGAGACACCGGUUCUUGCGGGACUGAGUUGGUGGUGGUGGUGUUGGUGUUGUUGAGUGAGGAGGAAAGAGUGGAAGCCGAAGUGGGUGGGCUUUGGCUUCUUCUCAUAUGAAGGACAGAAGUUGGUUCGUUGUCAAUGUUACAAGAAAAACAGAAGCUGUUGUUGUUCGCUUGUUGUUGCUGUUGGUGUUUUUGUUUCCAUUUGCCUUGAGAGCAAAUAGGAGUGAAAUCUUCGAUUUUAAAAACACAUUUUUCUUGCAAGUGAGAGGGCACGGACAUUUGUUUCUUUAAAUCUUUCUCUCUAACUACUCAAAGUCAAUAACAAGACGCACCCAUUCCAGCAAAACGCUUGUUUAAUUUAAUCUCUUUUCUCUUUCUCCUCAGCCCCAGCCUCCCAUGUGCAUAUUUCAUCUGCCUCCUCCAAAUACAGAAACUUGGCUCUUGAUAGUAGACUGCUCUUGAAUUGCCGCUGGGGGUGCUGCUCUUGGUUCCUUUUUUUUCCCCCCCUUCUAAGAGCCUUGGCCUUGUGUCACGCCAGUACCUCUCUGCUCUGCCGUGGAUGCGUGCAUCAUAAAAAAGGCGAACAGAGUGUCCUCCCUCUUAACUCUUCUGCAUUUCUCUCUCUCCCUCUCUUCUGUCACUUUCAUAAUGCUAUGCCUAUACUCUUGUUUCCAAAGGGUAAAAUGGGCACUCCACGUUGUACUACAGUACACUAGCCAAUCAAAUUACACUACAGUCCUUAUCACAGGUUGUUUUGUCUGUGCAGUUGCGGUUAAACUAUUAUUAACUAGUACAAGCAAAGGCUCAAUGCUUCUCAGUUUUCAGUCGAGUGGCAGCGCAACACUCGAUGCGUGGGUACUGGGCUAGAAGCCCAGGGGCCUUGUCACUUUACUUUCAUCUCGUUUUACUGAAUUUCAAUUUCGAAGCUGCGGUUACAGUCACUGACAAGAACAGUUUAUGGGAAACAUAAUUUUCAAUUUCAAACCGUCAGACAGAAGCUGGGUUUGAGAUUGGGGUUAUACAAUUGUAAUUUAAAAAUUAUAAUAUUAAAAUAUUAAUUAUUAUUUUUAAAAAUUAUAUUAAUAUAAUUUUUUAUUUAUAUAAUAAAAAAUUUAUUAUAUUUUUAAUAAUUUUAUUAAAUUUAUUAUUUUAAAUUUAUAUUUAUUAUAUAUUAUUAAUUUAUAUUUCAUUUUUUCCACAAUAUCUUAAUUCCAAUCAUACCCAAAAUUAAAAUGUAAAAAUACGAACCUCUAAUGCUAUAAAAUAUAUCAAAAUAAUGCAUUAAUGUCCUUUUUUUUUUUUUUUUUAUCUAUCAACUUCGUCCGCAUUUUAAAAUCAUCCGGAACAUUAACACCUUAGCUACGUUGAUCUAUAAUGGACCUAAAAUAGCCUGUCCCAAAUAUCAAUGGUCAUUUUAUUAUUAGUAGUUUGCCUUGAUUUCUUAAUUACAGACACUGUCUGUAAUUCUGUAACCCCCCUUGCAUGUUCUGUUAGAAAAGGCAAAAGGCCGGACAAGUGAUGCCUCUUCUUCCUAUUUUGCCCACAAAUUUAUUGUUUAUUACUACUCUUCUGUCAACUGGCUAUACCAAAAUUGGGGUUUUUCUUCAUUAUGCAAAUUGCCAAAAACCUGAAAGAAAGUAUGAAGCGUGAUCUUACAAAACGACUUUUUAUGGACAGAUGGGAGAAAAACAUGUGUUGAGAGAAUUUGAUUCAUUUUCUUGACAUCACAAGUUCUUAUAAUGGCUUUUAAUAGGGCACACUUUAAUUUCCAACUAUCGACUAAUGGCUGCAAUUCAAAGCACAAAUUCUUUAAAACCAAAUGUCUCGAGAAUUUCCGAAUAUAGGUUACGUCCAAAAAGGCCCGUAUAGAUUUUUCUUUUUUCCCUCCAACUUUUUUUUUUCUUUUGAGUUGCAAUAAUUUUCAUACAGAACAAACAAGCAUACCGGUAAAUGCUUGAUAAAGAUGUAAUUAAGAAAAGAAAAAAGCAGCUAAUAAAAGCAUUACCGGUCAUUAUAACUCAUUACACAGUUGUUAAAUUUCUGUGAAUCUGAAAGGCAGUCCAUGUUCAAAAACUAAAACCUUCGUCGUUAAGUAGAGACCUGUUGCAUUGGUGCUGCUCUCUAGCUUGACCUUAUUAUACAGUUUAAAAUGCGGUUUCAAAUAAUCUUAAAACGUAUUAUUAUUUACAGAACACGCAGCCAAUUUACGUGGUUUGAGAAACUUCAUACAAUUGAAGGCCAAAUUGUUGAGGGCUGGGGAUGAUUUCUAAUUAUUAAACUCCAAAAACUUGUCUAUUAAGUAGAGUGACCAAUCAUAUUUAUUACCUCAAUUUGAGACAAAACACAAUAAUCACCUGCAAUAAAACAACUGCUAUACCUCGAUCAUUUCGUUCGACACACAUGAGUUGUUUCACCAUUGUUUUAUGACUACUAAAGUUAAAUUAUGAUAUUGCGAGUUUAGGUCUAAUAUCACUUAUUGAACGUUGAGGCUUAUGAUUUCUAGGUAUCUAACUUAAAAAAUUAAUCUAUUAGGUGGAGUGACUUAUUACUAGGCAAAGUGGUAUACAACUCAGCAAUCCCUCUUUCCAACCCACAAUAAUUUGACUAUUGGGGUCUAAUUCUAAUACCACUUGCUGAGUGAGACUAGUCUAUUGAGUGAACCUCUCUGCUAGCUAAAGUGGGCCAUAGCUCAACAAUCUCCUCCUCUCAAGAAACCACUUCUCGAGCUAGUGUUUCGCCUAACACAUCUUUGUUGUUUCACCACAACAUUCUGUCUAUUAGGAUUUGAUUCUGAUACCACUUGUUGGGAAAAUAGGUUUGUGAUUUCUAAAUAUCCAACCCAAAAGACAAGUCUAUUGGGUGAAAUGACUCAUCUUACUUAUAAAUCUCAGUAACUCACUUUACUAAUUAAUAUGGGACACAACUCAACCCAUAAAAUUAUUAAUUUAGUAAUGAAAAAUUAUAAUCUUUUAUUAAUUUAGUAAUGAAAAAUUAUAAUCUUUUAGAUUUAAUUAAAUUAGGACUCCCUUUUAUGUGUGUUAAGAGACCGUGACAUAAGUGACGAUCCCAAAUGGACCUGUAGCUGCAAAUCAAUAUUGAUUGAAUUCGAUCUACUUAUACCAUUACCCAAUGCAGCAAAGUAGGCAUGAAUCAUUUUUACAUUAAGACCAUGGUUUCUUUUUUUUCUUUUUCUUUUUUGUUUACAGCAUAUCAAUUACGAAUGAUCAGGUCAAUCACAAGUUUUUUUUUUUUUUUUUUAUAGUUGAUUUGUCUAAAAUGAUAUUCCAGCUGUCCUAGUACAAAUUACGCUUCCUUUGACAUUAAAUAUUAAAUUACAAUAUUUGAUAAACACUAAUAACUUUGAUUUAGAAACAGCAAUUAGAGAUUAUAUUGUAUAAUUUACAAAUUAAGAGUCAUGUUUAUUCAAAAAAAAGGAAAAAAAAAAAAGUCUCUGUCUAUAGAUUUAACAGUAAGAUGAAACAACACUACAUUAAUUAUUCCAACAGAGCUAUGUUGGGUGGCGUCGGGGGAGAAGCAAUCAUGGACCCAGAAGGAGGGUGUAAAGUUUCCUUGUCCAGAUGACAUGCAUUAAAGAAAAAAAACAAUGGGUGUUGGUUAUUUGUGAGGAAGGGAAGAGAGUCUAGAGAGGAGACAUGCUUCUGCUUUGGUCUCUUUACUCUUACGAAAUAUCGUUUAAAAGGGAACCACGAUGAUUUUGGACAUGUCAGCAGUACAAAGCCAAUUUUGUUUACGUAUCAGUAUCAUUUAUACCAGCCCCAUGUGAAUGCGAUCAUCAUGCCAUGCAUAUUGCUUAGUCAAAUAAGAAGCGGAAUUAAUGCGACACAACUCAUCAAUCUCCUCUCUCUCUCUCUCUCUGCCCCAUCACUAGUGAUAUGAAUAAUCAAAUCAAUCAAUAUCUACUGUUUAGAAGUUUUCAUUUGUCUGGCAUUUCGAAAUCUUAAAGUCCAACGCUGUGCCCCAUCAUUGGUGAUAUGAAAUUCAUUUCUCACAAGGUUCAUUACCUUAUUGUGCAGUGCGUGCAACUUUUGUUAUUCAUAAGAAAAAAAAAAAAAGUAAAGAAAAUUAAAAAUUAAAGAUUGGUAAACGGAAUAAGGAAUAAGGAAUAAUGAAUAAUGAGAGUCGAAAUUUCAAAUUUGACGAGCCUAUCAUUUUGAUUUUUGAUAUGUAUGUAUAUAUAUAGAGAGAGAGGUUAUUUUUAAUAUUUCUCUUAUAUUAAUUAUUAUUUCUUAUUUUACCAACAAAGUGUUGGCUCCAUUGGUAAUGAAGUCUCCUUAAGUGGCUUGACUGGGUUUGCUCCCCAGUUUGAGUCGCAGGAAAUCGCCUUUGUUGGGAGAACUUGUGCCUCCAGGUUCGAGCGGAGACUUCUAAUCUGGGUUGUGGUACGAGCUUAAAGGUGCCUCCCACAGUUGGGACCCUCCCCAGGAUACCUAGUGGAUAAGACCAAAAAAAAAAAAUUAUUAUUUCCCAUUUUUGUUGGCUUAAAAGAUGGGUGCAUUGCAUGGCGCCACGUUCUUUCCGUCACCCUGAAGACAUCCCAAGUAAUAGUAUAAUUAAACAAUUUUUUUUUCCUGGUUGACGACUCCAUAAUAGAACCUGAAAACGAUUAUUAGAUAUAUUAUUAAUAACACGUUUUGCAUGCUCGAUAAGCGUUUGGUUUCUCCCUAAUAAUAGUAAUACCAUUCAGGAACCUAAAAUUUUCAAGUUCUUUGAAUCUGCCUAGAAGAUAUAUAUGUUAAAUUAAUGUGAUAAAUACAGGGUGUAUAUUUAUAUAUGCAUAAGCAACGUUUGAUCAACAGGCUCGUGAUGUUCGUGAUCAAGGUUACAAAAUGACCAUGAAUAUAGAACACUAUAAAGGAGUUUCAUACUGUAGAAAAAAAUAAGUUGAAGCAGAAAGAGUUUUUAAAGCCAAAAAUUAGAAAAUUGGAAAGCAAUACUAGAACCCAAUGGUGAAGUUAAAUGAAAUUUUUUUCGUUAAUUUUAAAAAUGUUCUCACUGGAACAUAUAUAAGAAUUUUAUAUUGAUCAAUUAUGCCUCUUCAACUAUCAUCAAAUUCUUGUCAAAAUUUUAUCUUUCUUUCAACUUCAAGCUCUCGUCUUUUUAUGUCUCUUUAUCAAAAUUUCUGCUUCCAAAAUUAAAAUCAAAGAGCAGAGCAAUUACAAAUUCCAAUAAUUUCAUUUCUAUUGAACAAAUAUUUUGAGGAUUAAAAUUUUAUACUGAUUGAUUAUGCCUCUCUUCAACUACCGUCAUUCUUGUCAGAAUUCAUCUUUCUUUCAACUUCAAGAUCUUAUCUUUUCAUGUCUCACUGUCAAAAUGUAAGCUUUUAAAAUUGAAAUCAAAGAGUUAGGACAAAUUUCAAUUCUAUAGAACAAACUUUUGAGGAGUAAGCUUGUUAUAUCCAAAAUAAGGUGCAUCUUGAAUUUCUUAUUAAUAAAUUUUAUCGACCAAUAAAAAAGCAUUUAAUUAAAAAAAAUCCAAAUCACCCCAAAAAAUAUAUUCCUAGCUUCACCAUUGCCAAAAGCUAAACACAUAUUAAUAUUAGAAUUUAAAAGAUCUAAACCUGGAGAUUGCAAGCUGAUCUUUGAUCAAUAGGACGGAAAAAUAUAUAUUAUAAGUGUAACAACAGAUAUAUCUGACGAGUUCCUUUUUUCAACAGAAGCAACUAUAAACUUAGUAAAGCCGUACGGAUGAAAGCGUAAUAUGUGGGUGAAUAAAUAAUCUUCAUAUAUAUAUAUAUAUAUAUAUAUAUGACCCUAUAUUUAAGGGCAUAUACACAUAAUCUGUUCCUCCAACUUCAAAGUGUUUGUUAAUUAAUUAAGGAAGUUGCAGAUCAUCAUUUAACAAAGUCAACUGGAAAGCAAAUCGAUCGACCGUCAGUUUGCUGGAGGUUGCAAAAGAGUAUAUAUAAAUAUAGAUUUUAUGAUAUUUGCUGUUUUAAUUAAUUUAGUGGAUCUGCCGACGUAAGAGAAAAGAGAUUUGGUGUGGCUUUGAUAUAUAACUUAGUACCCAAGUGGUUUAUAAUUUAAUUUGUUUUGAUUUUUAGCUUUUUGACUAACAAAAGUUAAAUAUACAAUCAAUCAUGCAACAUAAAAGUCACCGAUUUGGUGGUUAACUAGUAUUAUCGGCUUUUUAUUGUAAAUGGGGUUUCCUAUGAAGGAUGCAUGGGAGAUUUAUUAGCGACAUGUAUACUGUGGAAUCAACUUUUCAGAUUAUUUUGUUAUUAUAUUUAAAUUCAGAAUCCCAUCGACCGUUUAAUGGUGCUGUUUAAUGACCUUACAAACUGUAAAAGUUGUGCACUUUUCUUUUUUUUUCCCCCCCAUAAUUCAUGCAUCUUCAGUCAUCACUCAUCGGCUUUUAAAUAAUUAAGAAGAUAUAGUAGUUUUCCGACUUUAAUCCAAAAGUAAUUAAUUACAAUCUAAAACUGUUUUUGCAUGCAAGUAGAGCCCCCGUUCGACUCCGAAAUCAUCUUUUAAUCUUUCUCUAAAAGACUAAAACAGCCACUUUGUCAGAGUCAAUCAUCAUAAUUAAUGGUUCGCAAGGAAAAAUCAGAAUCUAAUUAUUUAAAGCUAAAUUAAUGCAGCAAAUUAUAUGCUCAUGGAGUCAUGCAUGGACCAGCAGUCACCAUAAUGGGUUGCUUUAAUGAAUAAUGAGGCAUUAAGAUUCCGCGUUUGUCGGUUGGCCAUGAGGAAAAGCAUGAAAUUUGCAAGUCAUUGGGAACUAAUAACGAAUAAUUAGCAAAUAACACAUCAAAGAAACAUACAAUCUUUGCUUUUUUUUGCCUGGGUUUUGCUAUUGUUGAUUGAGUCUAAUUUCAUUUUUAUUUUAUUUUUUCUGGCUGUGUCCAGUGUCCAAACACACAUUUCUUCCUUACGAAACGAUUGCUGCAAGCCAUCAAAAGCAGUGCAACAACCAUAUGUUCCCCCUUAAAUCAAACGUUCCAUCUUCUUGUCUUGUAUGUUUCUUUGGGUACUACACCCCAGACAAAAAAAAAAAGGUUCGUAAUAUGCGCUUCCCGUCUUUUAGUUUUCUUAGGGAAUGGGGUAGGAAACUGAGUAGUUUUGUUCUCUUCUUUCUUAUGACAAUUGAUACUCAAGACUGUAACUAGGGAGUAGAAAGCAAUACACAUGGCAAGGUGGGUGGAUUUGCACCAUGAAGGCACUUAUCCGUUGCAUGCGUGGCAUCAGCUGAUCAAGGAAGCCACUUGAAUUAAACGUCUUUGGAAUUUCUUUUUUCCUUUUUUUUUUUUUAAUACGGUACAGACGUACAGUUCAACUAAUUAGAAUUCAACACUAAUCAACAGGAAAAAAAUCAAUUCCCACCCAGUGUGUGUGUGUGUGUGUGUGUAUAAUUGGAAUAAAAACAGAGAAGCCCAGACUUGAAUCCAAAAUUGAGAGCUUGGGACUAUUGGUGCAAGGAGCCCACUGGCAAACAUCUUUGAAAUUUGAUGUUUAUGAAUUCUGAAUUGUAAUCUCUUUUUUUUUUUUUUCUUGAAAAGGGUGGAAUAUUAUUUUGAUUCUUGGGUUUUAUCUCAUAUGGAAUGCAUAAUUUCAUUAAAUCAUAUUUGGUAUCGCAAGCCUUGAUCACCUUAGUUGAGCGGUAGGCAUCUCUUCUUCUUCCUUUCUAAGUCGAGUGUUUGAGAUGUAGAGGUGAAUUAUGAUAGACUUUAAUAUACUACAAUGGUAGAUGAUAAUAGAGUUAUGUUCCAAUGAAGGAUUUUGCACUUUAGUUAAAGUGGGGGAUCUCGGUUGGAAUGACUCAUAAAAUUUAUACAAGAUAUGCCUUAUUAUAUGUAAAUUUUAAAUUUAAAAUAAAUAAUCAAUGAUUAGAUUCGAACACAUUGAAUCCAAAUAUUGUGCAUUUACUUCUCAAAUUAGGAAAUCGGAAUUAUUGACGGCGUUUACUUUGUAAAAUAGAGUUGGGAAUCAAAAUCGGAAUCGUGAGGCUCAUCCCAAUUGGGGAAUGGGUAACAGGAGAUUGAUUCUUAAGGGGGUGGUGGGAAUGAGUCUCCCAUUUCUAAGAAUGACCAUUUUGCACCUCCACAAAAUCAAAACUACUCAUUUUGCCUUCAAUAUAUUGUUAUUAAUUAAUUAAUUAUUUAUUACAAUUAAUUAAUAUAUUAACAUAUAAUUAACAAAAAUUAUAAAUAUUAAUACAUUUUUUAAUAAAUAAUCAUAAUAAUAAUUAUAUUAUUAUAGUUAAUUAAUUAAUAUAUUAUAAUAAUUAAUUAAUGUAAUUUUAUUAUCAUUAAUUAAUAUAUUAUAAACAAUAAUUAAUAAUAAUAAUAAUUUACAAAUAAAUAAUCAAUAUAAUUAAACUAUAAAAUAAUAAUUAUGACAAUAGUUCAGUAAGUACUUUUAAAUAAUUUAUUACAAUCUAACUCAUUCCGAUUAUAAUUCCUACAAUUUAAAAAAAUAAAUUAUUCCGAUUUCUAUUUUCCAUUCUCAUUCCAACCCAUUUCUAUUUCUACCUAUUCCGAUUCCAGCCAUUACAAUUUUAGUCCAGUAAACGCACUAUUAAAAAUUACAAACACUUUAGCUAAAGUGUGAGAUCUCUCCUUCGAUCCUAAAUAGUAAUGUAAUUGAAAAGAAAGAGGGGUAAAAAAAAACUAAUUUUUAGUGUCAACUGUCAACUGAGGCCGGUCAGUCAGUCAGUUGGGUCAGAUGAGAACAUAAUUUUGUUUAAACCUAUCCUUUUCGGAUUUGGGCUACCAUGCCCUUGCCCAAAGAGUCGUUGGGCUUACAUUUUUUAGUUACUUGGUGUUCCACAAAUGUGUUGCUUCCGGCACCCCACUGAACUCGUCGAAAAACUCCAAUUUUUGGAAAUUAUAAUUCUAUCUCUACACAAUUACAACUAAUCAGGAGUUGGACUAUUGACACCCCUCUCAUCUCCUCAUAAAACCCCUUUUUUAGUUAUAUUUAUUUUAUUUCCGAAAAUACUCUUUUUUAGAUACACUUUUUUAAGUUUUCAAUUUUCAUUUGAUUUGUUUUAUUGUUAAAACUAAAAGUAUUAUUGUGCUAUUUUUUUAAUUAUUUUCAAUUUUAUUAUUAAUCUACAUACAAAUUAAAAAAUUAUAUGGGUGAUAAGUUUUUUUAGUGUUAAUCAUUGGCUGAAAGAACACAUAUUUCAAAUUAUAAUUUUAAAGUAAUUUCAAGUAUAAAAAUAUUUAAUCAAUAAGAAAUCAAAAGAAAAUAAUAGAUUAUUCUAAAUUUGUACAAUUUAUUUUAGUUAAAUAGGAAGUAAAAUAUAAUUUUUUUUAAAAGGAUUGAUUAUGAAUUAAGUAAUUUGCUGGAAAAAAAUCUAUAAAUGUUUAAUUUUCAAUUGUCUUUAAUUGUGAUUUUAUUUAAAGUGGGGUUUUGUAAGAAUAAUGUAGGGUGCCAAUAGCUCAACUCUUACAUAAAAUGACAACUAUAAAUAACUCUUUAUCACAAUCUCUUUCACCCAAAUAUUAAAAACUCUUGAUAAGUAUUGUAUAAUAAGUUAUUAUCAUCUGGCGUUUCAUAUCACGCGUAUUUCUAUAAAUAAAUAUCUAUUGCAGAAUUUAUUAACAAGAAGAUAUAUAGAUAUUGUGGAGUUCUUUUGCCUAUAUUUCUCCUCCUCUUCGGUAGGUCUCAUUAUAGGGUGGUAUGAGUUAGCUUAAAUCGAAUUUGUAAAAACUUAAUCCAAUUCACUAUUGAUUGGGUUAAGAAAAAAUCAAUUCAACCUGAGUAAAUAAACAAGUCGAAUCCAAAUUAAUUUAACUUUUAAAUCAUCGGAUUUUGUUGUUUGAUUGAAUUGAUUAAAAUUAAAAAUUAAAAUUAUUCAAACAUAAAAGUUAAAAAUGACUAUUUGGUACUUUAAAAAUCAAAUUUAAAUAAUAAUAAAACACAUUAAUUCUCCAUUAUAACAUUAAGUGUGUGUUUACUUUACUUAUUUGGAAAUAAGAGUUAAGAAUCAUCCCAACUUUUUGUGUUUACUUCCAAAAUUAGUGUUUAAGAAUUGAAAUGAAUGGUGUGGAAUUCAUUCCCUGAAAUGACCAUUUUGCGCUUCCUUAAUUUUUGAAAUUUCAAUUAUGUCCUAUUACAAAAUUAAAUAAUAAUAAUAUUAAUUACUAUAAUAACAAUUCACAUUAUAAUAUUUACAAUAAUAAUAAUAAUAAUAAUAAUAAUAAUAAUAAUAUUACUAAUCAUUGCAACUAAAAUAACAAUUAUAAAAUUAUUAUUAUCACAAUUAAAUGAUAAAAAUAUUAUUAAUUACUGUAAUAAUAAUUACUUUUAAAAUAAUGAAAACAUAACAUUUUAAUUAAAAAUUAAUUCACUAAAAAAUAUCAAACUCAAUAAUAAGAUAAACAUGCAUAUAUUUCAUUCUAAAAAGUUUACUUAAUUUUUUAGUGAACAAAUGCAUAAUUUUAACUAAGGGUAUUUUAGUAAUUUUGAAUAAUUCAUUCCAAUUUAUUUUAAUUCGAAAAGAAAGUAAACACAUUAAUAACAAUACAACUCAUUUUGAUUGUAAUUCAUGUAGUUCAGGUAAAUAACUUUUUUCUAAUUCUCAUUCCUCAUUCCAAUUCCAAUAUAUUUCGAUUCCAACCUUAUUCCAAUUCCACAAAACAAACGCACCAUAAAUGUUAUCCACUGUACCCAACAUAUAUUGCUGUCAAUAAAUAACAUGACAUAAUGUUUGAAUAUCUUUAACUUAUCUUCUGUGAAAAAAUGGAAUUGAUUUUUGAAACAUUAGUUUAGAGAAUUCAAUUAAUGUCAUGUUUAAUAGAGAUAAUUUGAAAAAAGCCUCUUUUACAAAAGAACAAAAGGAUUCGAAGUUAGUUUAGCCAUUUAAUGUUUAACGGUUGGCUUUUUAUGGUUCUUGGUUGGGUUGGGUUAUUUAGGUUUAUAAUAAUGAAUUUGAUCAAUAGUAGAUCCAUAAAAAUGAUUUAUUGGAAGCUAAAUUACAUAAGAUAAGAUGUGAAAACUAAAAUUUUAUGGGUUAAUAAGUUAUGGAGGUUAUUUUGAUAUAUUUAAUGGGGGCUAAAUUAAAUAAUAGUAAAACCUCUCAUAUGGAUUACUAUAAGCUUUUGUUUUUUCAAUUAAAAUGCGAGUUUUUAAAAUUCUUAGAAUUGAAGCUUAAAUUUUAUGGAUUUACGAGUUUAUGAGACUAUUUUUAUAAGUUUGAUAGAUACUACUUUAGUGGAUUUAAUAGGAACUAAUUAGUAACUUAAGUAUUAUUCUCUUUAUUUUUUUAUUUUUUUGAAAUUAUUUUAUCUAUCAGAGGCUUAAGUCUCUAUUAUCAUGAGGUUCAUUGCCUCUGAAUCCAAUGCAACUCCAUCAUUAAUCGGGUUGAAAAAUAUUGAGCCAAUCAACCUAUUAUAACUUAAUCAGUCCAUUUAAAUUUAAUUGGGUCCAGUGGAUUGGAUUAAGCUUUCGCACCCUUGGGACUCAUGGUUCUUGCAUGUGGAAAAUUGAAACAUUUUAGAAUACUCAUAUUGUUAUUGUGCCAACCUCCGAUCAUCAUGAAUUUUUUUGUUUUCAGCAUUUCAUCUCCAACUUCGGGAAAAUAGCAAUGCACGAAGGACGUUGAGAAGAAUUGUUCAUCAAUAAUAAUAAUUUUUAGACACACUUUUUUAAUAAUUUCUUAAUGGUUUCAUUAUUCAAUUUUCUGUUUCUUUAAAAUUGUUUAUCAUUUGUGAAAAGAAAUUGUGGGCUUAUUUAGAUAAAUACUUGUGCAUUUUAUAAUUUCACAUGUUUAUACCAUUCCACUUCAUCUUCAGCCAAAUGUUAAGCCAUCAAGUGCCGAACCCACCACCAUUGAUUGUAACAAUUUAUUUUUUCCCAUUUUUAUGUAAGGAAUUUCUGACAAAUAGGAUAAACAAUAAAAAUAAAUUAUUUUUUUUCUUGAUUGAAUAUAGAGUUUAGGACUUUAGAACACAUAAGAUAAGGGUCACAUUACCUUUCAUAAAUUGACUAUCUUCAUAUUAUUAUUCAUAUUUUUAAAAACUUUAAUUUAUUUUAUAUUUUUAUUAAGAAGACUAAAAAAAAUUCAUUAACCCACUUCUAUUUUCUCCUUAUCUUUAAAAUAAAAUAAGAAUGACUGCAAGUUUUAAAAAUAAAAAAGAUAAUUGACAGAUAAUUAAUUUAUGAGAGGAUUUACCCCCAUAAAAUAUGAUCCCAUUAAAUUCCACAAAGGACUUUAAAAUUCCAGCGCUACCCGUCUUACCUUUGAUCGAUGAGAUGAGCGACAAGCAGGAGGGGCAAAAUCGUAAUAUGAAAAAUAAAGGAUCCCAGCAUAAUCUCUCCAUCUUGUAAGAAGCUUCAAACGAAAUCAUGUCCGAGUUUCACAUUUUAUAUGCCUUGCCUUGGUUCGAACUACCAUCAGAUGUAUCUUAAACCGUCCGAUGCAAAUCUAAGGGAAAAAAAAACAAGGGUUUGAUAACUUUUUUUUUUUCUCAUCAAAAUUCAAACUAAAUCCACAGAAUAUUAGAAUUUUGAAAAUUUUUUAUUUGAAUUAAACAUAAUCUCUGCGGAUAAUUUGGGGUUUUAAACAUGAGUUUAAUUAUGACUGUCUCAAAAAUCAAUGCAAAGAAAUUAGAGUUCCGUUCUCCCACGUCAGUGCAUACGUACGAAACACCGCACUCAAACUCAACGCGUGCCCAAAAUAUGGAAUUUAUUUAUUAAAAAAAUAAAUAAACAAUAUUAAAUUUAAAAUCCUUAAUUUAAAUUAAAAUAAAAUAAAUUAUCAUUCGUAUACCCUAUAGAUGUUCUGUUAUUAAAAAUACUAUAAUAUUUUGAGGAUGUAUCAAUCGUCCACCCUAAGUUGACAAAAUAUAUAUGUCGUCCACCAAAUCGUUACUUGCCGUUUAAAUAGGAUAACGCCAGAGGAAUAAUUUAGUAUUUUCAUAUGAUACAAGUGAUAAUUAAAGGGUAUAUAAAUAAUAAUAAAAGAAUUUAAGAGUAUCCAAGUGAUUUUUUUAAAGGGUAAAAUCGUCAAUUCGCUAUAAUUCCGUUAACUUUCAAGCGGCAGCUAAUGGUUUGGUAGUCGGUAGAUAAUUUUUGUUAAUUUAAGAUGGACGAUUGAUACACUCUUAAAGUAUUAUAAUAUUUUUAAUAACAAAAUAUUUAUAGGGUAUACUUAGGGAUGACAAUGAGCACCGCCCGCAGCAGGUUUGCCAUUACCAAACCCAAACCCGCACAAAAUUUAAAUUACCAAACCCACCCCCAGCGGGUUUUCAUUUUUUUAAAAAAAUCUACCCGCAACGGGUUUUAACAAUUACCAAACCCACAAUGGUACCCGACGAAUUUUUUGUGGGUUUCCGUAUUUAAAAUCACAAAUGUUUAAUAUAUAAAUUUAUAAUAAUAACCUCAAAUUCCAUAUAACAUACUCAAUUUUAUAUUUAAACAAUGUAAAUGAAAAAUUAAAAUUUCAACAUCAAUCCAACACAAAUUCUCAAAUUUAAGUAUAAAUUACACAAAUCCAUUUAAAAAAUACAAACUAGUAUCUAAAAAUAAUAAUUACAUUUCAUAUUAUUAUUUAAAACAAGCUCCGAGAGAAUAUAUUCAUUUCAUUCACCACCAUAAGCACCCAUCCAACACAAUGCCUAUAAUAAUAAUUAAGAUUAAUAUUUUCAAAUACUAAUUCGAAGGGAAAUGCCUUUAGUUUUCUUUAGGUUAUGACUUUAGAAUGGAAGAUGGCCACAUACACACAUACACAACUUUGAACCUUUGGCUAUUUGGUAGUUUGAAUAAUGACAUUAUUUUCUUUAUACAUUUUUAGAUUAAAAUUAAAUUAAAAAUAUUUAGAAAAAAUAUUAUGGGUUUGGUGGAUAUCCAUGCGGGUAUACACUGGAUAUAAAAUUAAUAUCAAACUCACCCGCAUCCAUGUGCGGAUUUUAGUUUAUAAUACUAAAUCUGUCCGCAAUGGAUAAAAUUACCCACAACGAACGGGUUUUGGCGGGUGAAUUUGGACGAAUUUAUGGGUUUACGGGUAUAAUUGACAUCCCUAGGUAUUCUAACGAUAAUAUCCAUUAAAAGAAAAGAAAAGCUUUUAGCUAAGCCAAGUCAUCUUCUUUUAUUAAAUAUUAUCCGUGACCUAACCAACCAGUUGCUUCGAAGAGUUUUGAUCAUUAAAGUUCUCUCGCUCUUUUCUGUUUUUUUUUCCUCUCGCUUCUCCGCUUCGACUCUUCACAAGGUCUUCCUCUCUUCGAAUCGAUUUCUCUUUUUUAAUUUAUCUUUAUUUUGCUCUUGUUUGAUUUCAUUGAAUAACUUGUAAUCUGUUUGUGUUAUCGAUUAGAUUGCUAUUUUAGGGUUUAUGUAAUGAUUAAGAUAGUUCAUUGACUCUUCUUAAUUUAUCAUUUUCUCCGCUUAGUUUUAAGUUCUAAGUUCUAAGUUUUGACUGCUGAUUGUAAAGCAAUUUUAGCUAAUUUUGUUUGAUGAGUUCAGGAGGAAUGGCAAAGAGUUACUUCAAGCAAGAGCAUGAUCUUGGUAAAUAUUUUCCUUUUUUUUUUUCAAAUUUUUUGGGAGUUUUUUGAAUUUUCUAGUAAGUUUCUGUUUAUUCGCAUGUUUUAUUUGUGGGGAAUUUGAUGAAAAAUGUUGAAUUUAUGAAGUUACGGUUGUUUGGUCUUUCAGAGAAGAGACGCGCAGAGGCUGCAAGGAUUAGGGAGAAGUACCCUGACAGGAUUCCGGUGAGAUUUAGCCUGGCUUUUUCUUUUCUGUUGUCAACUUGUCUGUAAAUUUUUGUCGUAAAAUUAUCACGCCUACGUCCAAUGAUCUGCUGUUGUGUUAUUAUUUGGUUUUAGAAUGAUAGUACUGCAUGGUUAAUUUCGAAACUUGUAUUUUUUGGAUAUGUGGCCUUGAGCAUGGUUGUUGCUAUUUGCUAGUUGCUACCUUUAUAUUUAUUCUUUCAAAUUUGAUUUACAAUGAUGAGUGUUUUGCAUGUGUGAUCAUGCUUUUGAGUUUUACUGAGAAUAGUUUUAGUUGCACAAGGUUACUUGACAAUGGCUUUUUAUUUUUAUUUGAUUCUGUUGUGUUACUUUCUGUGAGUGUUACAUAAGUUGAAUGACCAGCAUAAGAAUACUUUAUAUCUUUCUUAAUUUCUGAACUUACUUGUCUCUGAACUCUGUUCUUUUGCUUUAAGGUGAUUGUGGAGAAGGCAGAGAGAAGUGACAUACCAAAUAUAGAUAAGAAGAAGUAAGCUUUACACCAUAUUAUUUAUGACAUUGCAUUAUCUGGUUUCAUUGUAAAAAGGAAGAAAAAAAAUACAUGAUCUGUUCCUACAGUUUUGAGCCUCUUCAAUGACCUCUAUUUCAUGGCUUUGACAAUAUGAGAAAGAAAUUAGAGUGCUGAUUUAGGCUACUUGAACUUGUUUGUUUAUGUACUGGAUUAACACUUGAGCUGCAUUAUUUGAAACAAUUCUUGGUAGCAAUCUCAUCAACUUUACGUAGCACUCUCAUUCCUUUCUUUUCUAAGGUAUAUUGAUCUCAUUCCUCUGUGAUAAGGGGCAGCCAGCAGAGUAUGGCAACCUCUUACUCGUGCUACUUUGUUUGUAAUAUUACCAUAGUUUUCAUUGUUAUCUUAUAUUGUUCUUCCUGUUUCAUUUAGCUGAUCACAUGGCUCUGUCAUGUAGUCUGCAUACAUCCUAUGACAGCUUCUUGCAGCUAUUUUCUUUGUGGGUCUUGCUAGCUUACAGUUUCUGUAUAUUACAGCCCAUAAAGAAGGGGCGUUAACUGGCCCUCAUCCAGUUACCCCUUUUGGCCUGGCUGUACAUUACAGUAAAUGUAAGGUAGCCAUGUCUUUUUUCCAUUUUUUUCCUUUAUAUUUGAGAUUUAAACCUAAGACCUAAUCAAAAUUUAGUCAUUCAUUUGUUUACCUGAUAAUCAUCAUAUCUAUUGCUUCUUUUUCUUUGUCCCAUUUCUUUGAAAGAUCAUUGUAUUUGUAGAAUUGGCUGUCACUUCAGUGUUUAUAGUUGCUAUGAUUGCUGACAGAUGGUAAUUUAAAUGUCCAUAUGGACUAUAACAACUCGCUACUUGAUUCUAUCAUAUACUAAUAAGGUUUCCUCUUUACCUGAAUGUGAAAAUUACAGGUAUCUUGUUCCAGCUGACCUGACUGUAGGACAAUUUGUCUAUGUCAUCCGUAAAAGGAUCAAACUGAGUGCUGAAAAGGCGAUAUUUAUUUUUGUGGAUAAUGUGCUCCCACCUACAGGUAAAGUUGCUAAUCAUGUUGUACUUCAUACUCCUAGUUGUGCUUUUUUGUUGAUUGAAAAUGGUUCAUCCGGUCAUUCUUUUGUUCGGUUUUGCAGGUGCAAUUAUGUCUGCCAUAUACGAAGAGAAAAAGGAUGAAGAUGGUUUUCUUUAUGUGACUUACAGUGGGGAGAACACAUUUGGAAGCCACAUCCCAGUUUAGCCUUGUGAUUAUCUAUCUGCUCAUUGUGUGGUUUCUUGUGCGACCACAUUUUUAUCUCAAUUGUCAUCCUUGCUUUCCGCUGAAUAUUCCUUUAUCGGGCAUAUUUUAUAUUUUAUAAAGACAUUGCCAGUGAUAAUAUGUACAGUUACCUAUUGUAUAUAAGUCUUAAAGGCAUAAUAUGUCAAGUUUCUUUCUUGCCUUUCUAUUUUGAUGAUUUUUUUUCGGUUUGGGUAUUUGCUGCUGGUUUCAAUCUGUAAUCUUUAUCACGAAAUACUUGACUUGGAACCCGGAUUCGGCGUGUUUGUGGGCCAUUGCUAUUUUUAAGAUGUAAAUUUGACCAACUUAUUAGAAGUAAAUCAUGGGAUUAGACUUUGUAACAUUUCUCCCUAAUUCAUCGAUGAUAUUUUGUUAACUUGAUCUAGUUAUGUCGAAUGUAUUGACUGCAUAAUUGCCCAUCAUUCAGCUGUAAAACAAAUGCAUUCACUCGGGGCUUCUUUGUACUUAAUUUCAAAAGCAUAAUAUCAAAAAGUGGUAGCUAAGCAGGUUUAGGCCCUAUUUGGUACUGAGUAGCCACAGCUGCUAUUAAUUUGAAAAAAAAAAGAUUUAUUUUUCAUGAUAUAAUGGUGAGAUAAAAAUAAUUUUUAAAUCACGACACUAAGUAUUUAAAUGGUGUACUUAAAAACUAUAAUUCUCCAACCACAAUAUCAAACGAGGCUUAACAUCGUCGAUGAUAAUUAUUUUUUUAUUCUAAAACCAAAUGUUUAAGCUUUAAUAUCUUAGGCUCCGUUUAAUAUAACUUUUCAAGGAGAGUUUAUUUAAGUAGAGUUUUUAUAAAUAGAGUUUUUGCUAAAAAAAAAAUUAGUUGUUUGAUAGUAAAUAAGAGUUUUUAUUAAAAAUUUAUGAAAUUACUUUAAUAAGCAAGUUUUUAAAAUUAUGUUAUGAAAAGAAUAAAAUAAAAUUGUCAAAUAAAUAAAGGAUAUUUAGAUAUUUUAACAUUUGAAAAAAAAAUUAAUCUCUACUUUCAAAAACUCAAAAUUUGAGCUUUUACUAGUAGAGGUAAAAUAGUUUAUUUAAAUUUCAAAAACUAUAUUAAAAAAAAAAAACCAAACAAUAACAAAAAUUAUAAUAAGAACUUAUAAAAUUAAAUAAAUAUUUAUAACCAUUAAAUAAAUUAUACCAAAACAGACACUAAAUCCUAAUCAACUAUGCUAAUUGUAAGGGGGUACAUAAAAUUUAGGAUCAGACAUCAAGUUUAUGUAUAAAUAAGAGAAUUAUUUUAGAACUAUGUGUCGCAUAAAGAGAAAAAAAAAAGAAUAUUCCUUUGACACACAGGUUUAUUCUUUUUAUAAAUGUAUUGAAAAGUCCAUUCUUAACUGUGGAUUUUUAUGUCCAUCCAGUAUAAUAAUUUUUUUUCAAAUGAUAUCUUUAUGUUGCUCCAAGUAUUUUAUCCAAAUAAUUUAUUUUGAAAUUUUUAUCCUUAUAAUUGUGUUCGUGUUCUUCAUUUAUUGGUUUAAUAUAUUUUCUUUCGAAAAACAUUAGCGAAAUGAGGAAAGAUUUUACUAAAAUAAAGAUAAAAAAUAACAUCAAUUAAAGAUAGGACAUAAUGAACCUUACUUCUUAAAGAAACGUGCAUCUUCCAAUUCCUUGAUAAACCUUUUAUUAUUUCUUUUUUUAUCUUCAUCUUUCUUACUAAAAAAAGUGCCGCAUUGACUGACCAUCAACAAAUUAAAAAUGAAACUUUAGAAAAUUCAGGCGACGUGGUGUAUCGAAUAUUGAAUAUAGGGAUUUGAAAAUGUGUGCAUCACCUCAAUUAUGGGGCGAUUUUAUUCUGUCAAUUGAAAGUGAGAGUCCUACUUAUUGUUGGAAAUUAAAAUUUUGAAAAUGUUUCUUAUUCUUUGCCAAAAUUUUGCAAAUUAAAAUUGACAAUUUUUAGGGAAGGACGAAGCAAAAGCUUUCGCUAUGUAGUGAUAUAAUAAUGCUGGCUGGGGUUAGGGGAGGACAGGACAGUGCGCCACCGCGAAGUGAUAAUUAUUUUCGAUUAAAACUAUCAAACAACUAACAAUGAAAUGGAGAGGAGAGAGACCCUCGCACGUGGCUCUUGACAUUAUUGAUAGAAUUGUACAAAAUAAGACAUGAACAACAUGCCACGUGGCAUCAAUGUUGGUGGGGUAAAUAUGUCGACCCAUCUUUGUUACUAAGCGGAGGGUGCAAACUGACGGUAUGGCCAUGCAACUGUGUCUCCCUCAUCUUCUGUCCCCCGGCCUCCCACUCUAUCGUUGGACCCAUUUGUUCUUACCUUGCAUUUAUUCUCCUCCCCUAUAUUUGAUACAUCCGAGUUCGAGUAGAUUUUAAAGUGCGGAAAAUAAAAAUUUGAGAAAGUUUUAAAAUUAUGCAUUUAAAAGGUUUAAAAAAAUUAUAAAGUGUAUAAAGUACAUAUGAUUUAUAUAUUUUUUCAGACUUUCUUAUAUUUUAAAAUUUUGAGUUAGAAUAUUUUUAUUCUCGUGAUUAUUAUUUUUACAUAUUGAGCAAUAUGAAUAAUUAAGCUUUAUUAAGGAAUGAUAUAUUUAACCUCUUGACCAAAAGUUUAAACUAUUAAUUAAAUAAGAAUAUAACAAUAGCAUUAAUGAUAAGUUUUGACAAACUACUACAUCUGAAAUGUGAAUCCAAGGAAGAUUAAUUAGCUAAAUUAGGAUAGGUAGAGUCAUGAGAAACCAAGGGUCAUAUACAAUAUCUUGAUUUGAAAUGUACCAAACCAAACCUAAAUAUAAUAUUGUAUACGGAAUUUCUUCGUGGUUAUUGACCCAAAAUAAAUUAUUUAAUUUUUUUUUCACGGUCAUGUAGAUAAUUUUUUUCACGGUACCAUUAAAUUAGUGUCCAUCUACGUACGUUCUGAUACAAAUGCUUUUAAACAGAAGAAAUUGAAACUGAAAGUGCAUCACCUGUAAGAGCUGGAGUGAGCUAGAUAUAGCUUCUACAGAAUAGGAAAAGCCGUUGCCGUUUUAUAUAUAUCGUAUCGAUCUAAGCAAAAAAGGGUUGACGUAUGUAAAUAUGCUUCUGUUUAGCGUCCCUAUCCAUUAUGAUCUGAUGAGGGAAUUAAAUGUAGUUUGAUUUAUUUUACAUUCAAGCACCUGAAGCUAAGUUCUUAGAAAGCUGAACUAUCAAUUCCUAUGAGAAUUAAUGUGAACAAGAUGUACGCUACUCGAACCAACAUUUGCAUGUAUAUUUUUCUUCUUCGCCAUUUUGAUAAGGAAUUUCAAUCUCCAUGACGCCAUGUCUAUUGUCUAACAUUCGAUUUUGUAAAAGUAUAAAAAGUAAAAUUGUGGCACAAGGACAAGGAAUGGAUGUCCUUAGUCGGAACACAUGGGUAGGACCUCGAUCAUUUACUUUAGUUUUCAUUUUAUUACGUGGCCAUUUUGAUCAAAUUCAUGAACAUAUAUUGAUUACUAGCUAAGCCGUAUUGCUUUUGUAGUAAGUGUCUUGACUAGAAAAUAUGAACAAACAAGCAAUGCUAUUUGUCUCCAAUUCAGAGAGUCACGGUUCCAUGCAUAUGUUACAAAAUUGAACCAAGCUCUUUCUAUAACGUGUCUUCUGAUUUCUAAUAUUUGGGACCCUCAAAUUGAUUCAAAAGCAAGACGGAGGGAGCAAAGGAGGCCCCCACAAUAUAUUCAAUUUGGUUCAUCACCCAAACAACUGCAUGUUCUAUUACAGGACCUAUUUCUUCUUAUACAGAAACCUGCAUUUAAUGCUUCCUCUCUGCUUCUCUUGGUACAAAUACUUGAAACCUAACAAGGAAUUAACCUAUCAUACAAUAAGAGUCUCUUAUAGCUAUCCUAGCUGGGAGAGUUUAAACUUACUGAUCUAUCUAUCUCAUCGUCAUGUCUUCCAUUACUCUUUUGCUUCUCUUAUGUCUUUCCGUGCAUGCAUGCAGUGAAAGAAAAAUCUCUUUGCAGAAUCAGGUUGGUGAAAACACCAUGAAGCAAGAGGAACCAAAGGCUUUCCUAAAGGAAGAAGCUUCCCCAACUUCAGGUUUUGUUCAAAUUGGCUAGCAUUAUUAUAUCUUUUAGGUUUCCUUCUGCAUGUGUUGUGUCUGGAUGACGGUCUCAACUUGCAUUUCGAUAUUGACCAUAAAGCGUAGCAAAAUAAUCACUAUUUAUCCUCAUCAAGAUCGUAUAAUUUGUAAACAUAAAUAGAUAACCUCAUCCUAAUUAAUAAUGGUUCACAAGACCUAUUAAUUCUAAUACGAGAUGUCCAUAUCACAUAUCAAAAAAGACACUGCCUUGCAAUGUUGUCUUAAUUACACCUCACAUGGGGAAACAUUGUAAUGUUAAGUGAAAAAAUAGAUGCAUGUUGACAUUAUUUUAUCCGGCAAUUUCUUGAACUAGCCUUAUUGAUAUAAUGUAAUAAAUUUUGAUGUUUGUAUUUUAUAUAUGUGCAGGUGAUAUUGUGAUGCCUUCUCUUCAAAAUGAUUUGCAACGCUUGGCUAAAACAGAGGUAAAAAAAAUUAACUUUGAUACCUUCUAUAUCUCUUAGUCUGAGAAGAUGGUGUAUGGCACAUCAUAUAUGCAUCCAUGAUCUAUGCAUAAGCUAGCAUCAUGAGUUUGAACAAGCAAGAGAGAGAGAGAGAGAAUGCUGCCGUAUUGAAUAAUUUCAUUGAGAUGCACGUUAUUAAUUGUAACAGUUGAUAUUCAUAAGAUGUUCUUCUUGGCUAAUUGUGUAGAUAUUCGAAAGCAGCAAAGCACAAGCACGGUUCUUGUUAGGAUCUCCACCAGGUAAUACCAACGAGGCAGUAGAUUCCAAAGAAAAUGACUUUGUGGAGGACGCGGUCGUAAUGGAUUACGCCCAGCCUCAUCGGAAACCUCCCAUCCACAAUGAGAAACCCUAAUUAUUAGUACAUGCACUAAUUAUGUAUCAUCCCUUUUGCUCAAGAUUUUCUUGUCACAGGAGCUCAUAUAUCUAGAGAGUGUUUAUUGUGUCAUAUGUGAACAAUUUGAAGGGCAUUUUGUCUUUAUGUAUCUUGCCAAACAUUUACCAUCAGCCUACAAAAAAUAAAUGUGGCAAUAAGUUGUUUUUGUGAUUAGUUGGGACAACAAUAAUUCUAAUUUUUACAAGGUGGUUUUGCCUACUGUCUAGACGGCAAAGAUGCCCUUUUCCGUAAGCAAGUGCAGAAAUCCCUUCGUCAAAUAUCAACUGUCCAUGUGAAAUCAGUCUUUUAAUAAUUGCAAAAGAAGACAACUUGUCAGAAUACGAUGAGUGAAUGUGUGAUGGCCCGUAAACACGGUCUGCAUUCAUGUUUCUAUAUUUAAUGCGAGAGUGAAUAUGGGAGACACAAUUGACAAGGAUGUGUUCCAGGGUGCUUUCAUUCAGUUGAUUUUUCAACUGAUGAUAUUCCUAUGAACAUAAAGAACUCGUUCGGGAAGGACUAUUACUUCUGCAGCUGUAAUAAACGGCGUUAGGUUCAGCACUAAGGCACUAAACCUACAUCUUUUGCAUGGUCAACACAAAUAUCGAGAUUCUUAUCACUCCAAUUGGUUGCAAAGAAUAUGAAUCUUACCCAGAUUAGUGCUUACUCACCCAAAAUACAGGAGUUAUUUAGGAUAGAAGCAGUAAAAAAAAAAAAAAAAAAAAAAAAAGCCAGCAGGUAGGUAGUCCGAACUAAAUAACAAUAAAGGGUAAAAAUCAUUUGUAAGGUGCUAAGUGAAAAUUUUAUAUGAUCUACUCUGUUGGUAUUUAGAACCUUCUGUUCUGGAGACUGGAGUAGAAGACCAUGACCAUUAAAAUGGCAUUUCAUCAGAUUGCCGGUGGCUGAUUGUUCAAUUACAUCUUCUAGGUUUGAUAGUUCAUCAUUGAGGUAUCUAACUGCAACCGACAAUGAAAGGUUUAACAAAUUUGAUAAAUUCAGAGGUCUUUAUUCCCCACUUGAGAUCAGUCUCUCCGCCACCCAACCAGAAGAAAUCAGGACUGAGUUUGGUUAUUGCUUCAUCCAAGAUCACCUGAAAUCAGUCUAUACCUCAUCAACAAACAAUCACAGAAUAGUUAAAUAAUCUUCUCUUACAUUCUCGUAAACCCAAACAUUUGGUCUAACAGAAUAAAUGAUACAUUAAGUAUUAGGUUACUUGAACAUGCAUAUGUGCUUCCAGUCUAACAGACUAUGUUGCACGAACUUAAUCAAGCUUUCUGAUUGACAGAUAAAAUUUAAAAUACGGUCACUAAAAAAUCAGUGAAACAGUAAAUCUAGCUGUAUGGUUUUCCUGUUUGUAGUUUGUGUAACCAAGGCGAGAAACAUUUUCUCCAAAUAAUCCACUUUUCAAGUAUUCUCUGCUGUUGUUUCUGCAUUAGAGAAUAAGAGAUGCCCCCAGUGACAAAUGGGCAUUCGAACACACACAGAGACAAAGCCUUAGAUGGCUCAAUUUCAAGUCACGUUAGAACAUUUUUCUAUUUUCUACUUUUCUACUUUUCUAGUGCUAGUGUGUUUCAACCAUUAAACAAUUUUUGCAAAAUAGCAGACUGGCAAGUUAUCAUUCACAUUGACCAUGAAUACAGUGGACCAUCCUAAAACUGCAUAUAUAAGAAUCCUAACCCUCAAUUUUCAGGGCCAUAAUUUUGACAGGCAUGGCAUUUGGAUGAGUGGACCGGUCCAACAGCUGGCAGAAAGAUUGGAAGGUCUUAAAUCACAAAACAUAGUUCCAUGAUUUUGAUGCACAUGUCAAAUAUAAGGUGCACCCUUUCUUCUCCAGAAUACAUCAGAAAAUGUGUAUAAAAAGCGGCCACACUGCCAUAAGCACAACACCUUAGCUUUUGGGCUAGGAAAAGACUCUCAGAAGAGACAACUGGAAUUGUCUCUGGGGCCUCAGUGUUCAUGCUUCCUCAUACAUCCAGACAGGACAGUGAAGUGGUAUUUAAGAGAAAGAUUUGUGAAUUGAAUGAAUACUGAAAACUCCACACUCAAGCUUAAUAAGAAGAAGCCAGUAAAAAGGGUUGGGAGCUUAGAAUAACAAGUAAAAAGUAGGGUAAACUUCAAUUCAUCCCCCAAAUAGAAAAACAAUUUUCAAUUUACCUCCCAAAAGUGUGGAAACCUCAAUUUACCUCCAUUUUCGUUCAGAAGAUGAGAGCAAAUGUGAAGCACCGGUGAUGCAUUUAUUUUUUGUCUUAACAGGAAAUAGGAGUAAAUUGAUGUUUUCUUACUUUUGGGGGUAAAUUGAAGAUUGUAAUUUUCUAAGUAGGAGGUAAAUUGAAGUUCUCUGAAAAAUAAUAAUAAUAAAGGAAGCUCUUUAUUCCAUCCUAUGUUUAUGGUAUUAAAAUUUACAAUACUAAUUAAUCUUACUUUUAAUAAUCAUGAAGAGAUUGUAGUAGCAGAGAUGGAACUAGAGAAAUGAUACACAAUCAAUGAAAUUUAACCAAAGCUAAAAUACAAGCAACAAGACAUUCUAAUUAGAACAUCAUGGCAGAAAAAAGUUCAAUUAUAAUACUAUAAAUAAUUUGAAUAAUCCAAUUCCUAUAAACCACUGAACACUUCCAAAAUAAUUGCAGACAAAGAUUGAUUACCGGAAUGUCUGUUUUCAUGCCAAUACAUGUAACUGCAUUGUGCUCAUAUCCAGUCAAAUUCAUUGAUGUCUCCUCAGGAGCAAGCCUCACUGCAUAAUUAAUAAAAUUCACUACAGUUAGUCUGUUAUAUUUCUCAACUUAAACAAGUCAAUGGUUAAAUGACUAUUGAAAACCUCAAAGUUUCAUUGAAACAUACCCUCAUUCAAAAAAAGUUCAACCAUAUACCAGAAAUAAUGUAGCAAUUGUCUUGUCAUAUAAAUUUCAAGCAUAGUACAUAUCACCAUGAUAAUGAAGAUGAUAUGAACUAAUGAUUGUCUCAAUACCUAUUUUUUCAGACAGAACUUUUCUAUAGGAAUGGGUAAGCAAGAACAUCUAUGGGAGUUAGGCAUGCAAAACAUUAUGGUCAUUUCUAUAUGGGCACAUAUCCUGUGAAAAUCAUGCACAGAAGUUCUAAAACUCUAUUACCAUUAUGACAGUCUACAAACUAGUUAAGAGUAUAAACACGAAAGUCUCGACAAAAUCUAUGAAAAGGCCAAAACUCUCCUUCUCAGGCUACUGCCAUUUCCUCCCAGUUGCUAAGAAUUAAAAGAAGACUCAUUAGACUGAGAGAAAUGGAAUGGAAGCCCAAUGAGAAGCCCAAAUCCUCACUUUGUCCCAAAUAUACAAAAAUAUCCUCCCCUGUGUUGCCCUCAAAUAUGCUUUUGUUUCUCUCCAACCACACAACCCAAAAAGUACCACAACCAAACUAGCCCAUAAUACUGCAAACUUCCCCCUUCCUUUAAAUUCAAAAGGAAACUCCAAAAGCAAGAACCAACAAAAAAUUAGCACAAAUAAGUACACCAAAUAUAUAUAUGAGUUAAUUAUUUUCAAAAAAUUAUAUCAAAGACAGUAGAAUGCAGUACCAUAUUCUCCCCAUUUCCCCUGCCACCCCAAACCACACAUAGAGAAGCAAAACACAUAGAUAUAUAUAUAUAUAUAUAUAUAUAUAUAUUCUGAAGAUCAUCAUGCUUUAAUACAGCCAGACAGCAGAGCUCAAUAAAAAUUUGAUUCAAAAUCACUGGUUCUUUUUGGAUGAUGCACUUGUCAUUUAAAUAUUUUGAAAGUAGCUGUAAAGAUAUAUCUCAUUCUGUUGUUUCAAUCAUGGAACAUUAAAAAUAACAAUGGAAGAAAUACCUAAAUAAUAACAAACACUUAUCGGUCAUUCAGUGAAUAACUUCUUACAAUUAAAUUUCUUUUUCGGUAUCUUGCCAUUGUUGAGAGUGUACAAAAAGUUUUUCACAGCUUCAGCAUUAAACCGGGCAGUAUACUGCAAAAUGAAAAUGUAGGAUGAGCCACGAACAACAUCAAAUUAUAAAAUUUUGAUGAGUGGAAACAAGCAAGGUACCUGAACAACAACAACGUAAUACUUCGAAUUGUUUCGAUCACUACAAUCAACUACAUUGGACUGAGCUUGUGUAUUAACCUGAGCUGACAGAAGGAAUACAAUUAAACGCCCUGAUAUAAACCCCUAAUUUACAAUUAAACAUCAAAAUUACUAAAACAAAUUUCUAUAUAAAAUCUGUGGCUGUGAAAAUUUAAGUAGAAAUUUCGUGAUAUUAUUAAUUUAUUAUAUUAUACGGCGUGAAGAAAUGACGUACCAAGACGAUGCUUUUGCAAAGAUGAUGAAUGGAAGCGGCAGCGAGGACGUCUCUGCGCGACUCGAGAGGCCAAUCGUAGUAAUCUGAGGGGACUUUUUUGAAUUGAAAGUCGUUGACACCGUUGGAUCGAAGAAUGUUUGAGAGGCGAGCUUCGGUGUCGCGGAUUGUUGAAUGCGGAGUGGAAGCAGGGACUGCUGCGGAGCUGGAAACGUCGUCGUCGUCGACGGAAAGGAUAGUUUGCUCGAGUUUCGAUAUUCGCUGAAGAAUUUCAGUUUGGACUCGCUCCAGCUCCGCCAAUGCUGCCUCCAUGGUCUGUGUGAGAUGCGCGUGUGUGAAUUGUGAUUAAUGGAUCACUUCGUGUUCGUUGCAUGUCAGGUUGUCUGGCCCGUUGGUUUUGUUGGUUGCGUACUUCGUUGAACCAACCGCAUUUGGGCUUCCUCAAGCCCACAAUUGCGGGAUCCAUGAUCAGGCCAGGGUACAGGAAGCGGCUGGGAAUUUUUAUUUUUAUUUUUUUAACGAUUGGCACUCUUAUAAAAUCCUCUAACAAUUAUUUUUUAAUUAUUUGAUACUAAAAAUACCUUUUUUUUAAAAAAAAAUCCCUCUUCCAAACUUUCUCUCUCUACAUAACUCAAAAACACUAACUUUCAAAAAAUAUAUAUAUAUAUAAAUAAUAAAAAUAUUAAUGUCUUGAGUUUGUACUUAUCAAUUAUAUAGAUGAGACUAAAAUAAAUAUACAAGAGAGAAAGACUUUGGAUCAAAAGGGAAGCAGAACUGAGUUUUAUUAGUUUAUUUUUGAGCUACAGUAAAUAAUUUAAAUUGGGUGUAGAUUUUAAGUUCGUUAAUCAUAUAAAAAUUUAGUCAUUAGAGCAAGACAUUUCUAGUAUUACAAGAUGUUAUUUUUGAGUUUUGGUUAUACAUGCAAAUUUUAUUUAAAUGUAUAGAUUAAAGAGAAAAAAAUAAAUGGAAUUCAUUUUAUUUAUAUUUAUACUUAUACUUAUAUAUAUAUAUAUAUUUUUGAAUGACUUAUACUUAUAUAUUUAAAUGUAAUUGCAAUGAGAAAAUUUCGAAAGGGUGCCAAUAGUCCACUUUUCUUUUCUUUUUUUUUUCUUUUUCCUUCACCUUCUAAAGAGGCCGGGUAAAAGUAUUGAUGUGCUAGAAGGUCUUCACUUUUCGCGUUUGAAUUUUGGAUUUGCAAUGUCUUGAUGUUCACGCCGUAGUUGUGGAAAGAAUUUGAGUUCAAAACAAGGGGCUCUGUUGAGACACGCACGCUAGUUUUAUUUCUUUUUCGAAGCUACCAUCAUGGUCCAGGAGUCACCAGUGACCAGUGUAUUAAUUGAUAUGACCGAAAGAAACAGAAAAAGAAAAGUAAAAACAUGGACUACAUGAAAAUUCAAUUAAUAUAUAACCGUUCAGAAAGGAAAAAAAAAAAUCUGUGGCAUGUUUUCGAACUGAUUUCAGUUGACUUCUUCUAGAUUAUAUACUACGACUACAUGUACUUACGUUUACAACAAACUUUAUAUUACAAUACCUAUAGGUUUAUACCUAAUUAAUAGCGCCUAUUUUAAACACUAAUUUUAGCCAUUUAUUUUGUACAAUUUCACCGUGCAAACGUUUGGAUGAUUUUAAAAUAUACGGAUGCCAGCACUUAAGCACGAUUAUAUAUAUAUAUAUAUAUAUAUAUAUAUAUAUCAAAUAAUUUGAGAUAAAUGUAUUUUAAUUAUAUUUUUAUUUUUACUAUAAUAAUAAAAUAUAAAAAUAAAUUAUUUUAUUUAAUAAUACUAUAUUUUAUUAGUAAAAUAUUAAAUUUAUGUAUUAAUAUUCAUAUAAAAAUUACUUAAUAAUUAAUUUAAUACAUUAAUAAAAAAAAUAUUAUCUUUAUAUUAAUAUAAAAUUAAUACAGUACAUCAUAAUAUCAAAUACUAUACAAUAUUGUUAUAAUAAUAUAAUAUAAUAUAAUACAAUACGUUUAUAUUAAAUUAUAUGAUACAGUGUCUCAGACACCACAUCAUGUUUAGUGAAUAAGUAAAUUGUCUCUUUCACUUAGCCCCUCUUACUUAAUUUAAAUGACUGUUUCUUUCAUACUUCCUAUAAUACCUACACUAUAAUAAAAUCCAAAGUUUCAAUUUUCAAGUUACGAAAAGGAAUUACUAGAAGAGAAAUAACUGGAAAAUACUUAAAUAAGUAGACACUUUUAUUUGUGUUUCAGUAGCUAAACAGGAGGUGCAGCCCGCGGAUUGAAAUGGAUUGGGGUAUCAAGCAAGCAAUGUGGACAUGUGAUGCGACGAGUGGGCAUCAAGGAAUCCACGUGAUUGAAAAACGUGCUGACAUUUUAUGAUGGAGGAAAAACGGUUAUGCAUGAUCUUGUGUAUUCUCUUGAUUUAGGCUAAUCCAAUUUUUAUUUUUUUUUAUUUUGUGUUAUUUUCUUGAGGCCUUCAAAAUUUUCUCACCUACUAAGGACUUCGAAAAAAGUUGGUGCAAUAAAACAUAUUUUUUCCCAAUUCACUUUUCUAAGUAGAGUUAGGUAAAUUUCCAUUCGGUUCAAUUUUAUGUGGCCCUAUUUAGGUAUAGAUUUUAUUGGCAGAGUUUUGAUAAGUAUAAUUUUUUUAUAAAAGAAAAAAAUUAAUUAUUUUUUGUAGAUGAGAAUUUUUUAUUAAAAAUUAUAAAAUUACUUUAAUAGAUAAAAAUUUUUAAAGUUAUGUUAUGAAAGAAAUGAAAUAAGGUUAUCAAAUAAAUUAAGGAUAUUUUAGAUAUGUUACUUAACAAAAUUUUUAACCUCUACUUCUAAAAAUCUAAAAUUUAAACUUGUACUAAUAGAGGCAAAAUAGCAUAUUUAAUCUUCAAAAACUCUACUAAAUGGAACAAACAAUAACAAAAAAUUUGAAAAAAACUUUAGAAUUAAAUAAACACUUAUGGCCGUUAUAUAAACCAUAUCAAAUAAGCACCAAAUUGGUUUUAAUAUUUUAUAAUCCUUCUUAAACUCACUUUGUUAUGAACCAAAUCAAACCAAUUUAAUCUAGUACGGUUUGGAUUGGUUCGGUUAAAAUAAAAUACCAAAUUUUCUCUCUUAGCUACUUUCUCAACUGAAAAGGCAAAUACUUGUUUAAUCUCUAUAUUUUAACUUAAAUACUCAUUUAGUCCUUAUAUUUUAAAAAAUACAUCUAAAUGCCCUUGUAGUUAAAUAUGUUAUAAUAUUUUAAAAAAUACCUCUAAAUGCCCUUGUAGUUAAAUAUAUUAUAUUUUUUACUUUUAUAUUUUUUACCCUUACAAUAAUAUUCUUACUAUUAAUUAAUUUAUCUGUAAAAAUUUAAUUAGCAAAUGAACAAAUAAUUAUUCAUUAGCAAAUUAACCAAUAAAUAUCAAUAUAAAAGAACUAGCUUUUUUUUUUCAAUACCAAUGCAAUAAUCUUGCUAUUAAUUUAUUUAUAAAUAAAUUAACAUCGCUCAACUUAUAGGAAUGUUUAAUAUCCUUAUAAUAAUUUUACUAAUAGUUAUUUAUAAAAAAAUUAAUUAAUCAAAUUAAUCCUAAAGUAAAAUAAUAACAUAAAAAUUUGUGAAAAUUUUUAUGUUCCUUUAAGGCUAAUUUGAUAAAUGAAUAUUUUUUCUUUUCAUUACUAUCCUCAGUAAGGUAAGAAUAUUGUCGCAAUGGUGUUAUUGUAAAAGAUUAUAAAAAAAAAGAGAGUAAGGAGUAUAACAUAUUCAAUGAUAAGAGUGUCUUGAGAUAUAUUUUAAAAUAUAAGGACUUACGGAUACUUUAGUCAAAAUAUAGUGACUAAACGGAUAUGUACCCUAAUUGAAAUUUAAAAUAUCAAAUCAAAUAUUUUCAAUAAUUACCAAAAAAAAAAUAAAAUAGAAAUCAUCAAUUAAAUUCUUGACACAAAAUACACAAAAUAACAUCCUCUAAUAAUCCUGAUCAAUCUUAAUCAAAGCUUCCAAUAUCGGACUUUACAAAUCUAAUUCUUUCUAGAUCCUUAAGUAAAAAAGAACCAAAAAAAAAAACUGAAGCAUAAACAAAGAACCCAGCAUGUGGGCACAAAUUAGUAGCAAAAGCAGAAAUUUUGAAAAAUGCAGCAGCAUUGUUACCAAAAUAAAAAAUACUGAAAAAUAAAAGCAAAGGUAAAAGAACAUAAAUGAAUGUGGGAGUGGGGAAAGCUCAGAUUCAAAUCACAUAUUUACCGGCUUCGGAUAAUGAUUACUGUUUUAAGUUAAAUCCAACUAACUUAAUAAUCCAAUACAUAAAUAAACUAAUUGUAUUUUCUCCGAUUUGCUACGGUUCCGUGUCUAUUAUUUUCUUAGCAACCAAACAUUUUUCAUACUGGUAAAGAGUAGAGAUCAAGAUUCUCUCCUGAUCUGAUUAUGUUUUGAGCAAAUAAUUUAAUUAUUGAUUGAUAGUUAAUAAAUAAAAAAGUAAAAUAAAUUAAAUUUUAUCCAUACACUAUCAAUAAAAAAUACAUGACAAAAAAUCUUUAAAAACUCAUUAGAGUUCAAGAGAGAACCCUGUUAAGAGUAGAAGGAUAGAAUUCUUUCUUCAAAACCGGCUUGUAAAGGGAGGGUGCCGAGAGCAUUAUAUUCCCAUUUAAAUAUUGGAUCCUAACAUUCCACCACAUUUCACAACCAACAUCCACAGCAGUCCAUCAGAACCAGUUGGGCGACUUCACGGAUCCCAAACAAAACCUUAAUUGGGACUCGAUUCCAAUUGACAUCGAAUUGUCCAAUCCACUUGGUUAUUACACACAAAAUUGAGAACUAACUCGAAUUUGAAUUAAAAAAAAAAUUGAAACUAUUCGGUUUGGGUUGAGUCAUUGAUUUUUUUACCUACUCCUAUUUCUAAGAUUCUAAAUAUUUUAAACCUAUAAUUAUUUAAUAUCUGUCUUUAUUGAAAGUUUGUUGCAAGAUGAUUUGAUUUUUUUUAAUGUCAUAGUACAAUAUAAAUACCCGAAAGCCUGGCAAGUCUAAAUUCAUGCUUGUCGAGACCUAUUUUCAUAUAUUAAAGUUGAACCCAAUAAAAAAAUUUGAAACUAGAAAAAGAAUAAUAAAUAAAUAUAUUCUCACACACAAAAAAAUAUCCUCUACUUUAAAAUUUUUAAGGCGAGCAUAGCAAGUACUCAUAAACUCAGUGAAAAAUUUAGCUGGAUUUAAAUAUUUAAAAAAGUAAUGACAUGUACUAGAAAAUAUAAAUUUUAAUACAUUGGAAACUAUAUGUCAAUAUAUGUGUGUAUAUUUGUCAGCGGCAUUCUUACAUUAUUAAAAUGAGGAUGUUUUCAUUAGAAAAUUAUUAUUAUUUUUACAAGCGCGUGCGGGCACACACACACAUAUACGGAAAAAUGAUACCUCCACUCCAAGGUAUGAAAAACUAGUUAAAAAAUCAUGAAAUUUUUCUUUGACUCUAUAAACCCAAAAAAAUUGAUCCCAAAAUUUUAUAUUAAAUGAAAUAUGACACGAAAAUAAAUGUAAUAAUAUAUACAUUUUAAAAUAAUUUUAAUAUUUAAAAAAUAUUUUAAUAUUUUACAAUUUAUUAGACUUAUUUUAUUAUGUUAAAGUUAAUUUUAAAAAAUAAUAGAAACAUAAUAUUUUAAUAAAGUAAAUUAAAAUUAUUUUCAAUAUUAUGUAAAAAAUAAUUUUAAAAAUUGUCAACAGGAGAUAUCUUGUUAAUUUUAAAAUCUAUUUAAUCCAUAGAUUUAUUUUAAAUCUUUAUAAUAAAUAUAAAUAAAUUUUUAAAAUACAUAUAAUAACUUAAAAUUUUAACAUUAUUUUAAAUGUUAAAAAUAAUUUAAUAUUUAUUAGUCUACUAGAUAGAUCAUAUUAUUUAUAUUAAAAUUAUAUUAAUAAAAAAAUUUAAAAUUAAUCUUCUAAUUAAUAUAUUCAAAAUGUAUUAUCGUUCAAGUCCCGCUCUCGUAUGGAGUCACCAUUUUGGCCAGCACUUUACCCUUUAUGGGCCGACCUGGUGUGAACGAGGAUUAAUUUAAGUUGUGGUACGGGCUUAAAGGUGUCUCCCACAAUUGAGGUCCACUCAGAACCAUCUCGUGGUUCAAACCAAAAGGAAUUAUCGUUAAAAAAAAUCUUAGUAUCCUUUUUAAAAAAUUUAGAAACUUUGUAAUUACUUUUUUAAAUUGUAGAAGUGUAGGUCUUGUUUUUUAAAUAUCUAAGAAAUCUUUGAAUAAUCUCUCAAACUUACAUUAAAAAUUAUUUCCGUAGAAAAUGAAAUUUAAGGAAAGUCGCGGUCAUUUAUUCGAGAAAAUUUGACCGUUGAAAACAGAAGAAAAUGAACGUCCUUCCUUUGCCUCUACACCACUCUUGCUUUCCCUUCCUCCUCCAUUAUAAAUAAAGAAACAGAAUCAAAGGAAAAGAAAGAAACCAUCCGAUCAAAAUCAAAUCAAUAAUCAUGCACAAAACUCCUUCAGGAUCCUCACUAGGCCCCGGCGGCCUUGACUUGACUCAAACCUUCUUCAAGCCCAUUAACCAUGCGGCCCCACCUUCCCCCACCAAGCGCCACACCAAGAUCUCUGUCAUUGGCACUGGCAAUGUCGGCAUGGCCAUUGCCCAAACCAUACUCACCCAGGACUUCGUCGAAGAGCUCGCUCUCGUCGACGCCAAGGCCGACAAGCUACGUGGCGAGAUGCUCGAUCUCCAACACGCUGCCGCUUUCCUCCCACGCACCAAAAUCCUCGCCUCUGUUGAUUACGCUGUCACAGCGGGAUCCGAUCUUUGUAUCGUCACCGCUGGCGCCAGGCAGAUUGCUGGCGAGUCUAGGCUGAAUCUCUUGCAGAGGAAUUUGUCCCUGUUUAAGGCUAUUAUUCCUCCGCUUGUCAAGUACUCGCCUGACUGUAUUUUGCUGAUCGUAGCUAACCCAGUUGACAUUUUGACUUAUGUUGCGUGGAAGCUGUCUGGGCUUCCUUCGAAUAGGGUCAUUGGGUCGGGCACGAAUCUCGACUCGUCCAGGUUUAGGUUCUUGCUCGCUGAUCAUCUCGACGUCAACGCUCAGGACGUGCAGGUUUUUAAUUUACUUAAUUCCUUCCCUUAAAUAAAUGCCUUUUUAAUUUAAAAUCUUUUCUUUCUUUUUUAAGUCUAGACUGUUGCGGUGGAUCAUUUUCAAUUUCAUGGGAUAAAUUUGUCAUUUAAGUUGAGUGGAUUCUGACUUCUGAAAUAUGUUAUCAUUUUCAAUCUCUGUUGCGUGGAUAACAAGGACUGGCCUAAGUCAAAGUGAAUUUCAAGUUUCAACCAGGUUGAACACUGAUAGAUACCCACGCGAGCCCCGAGUUAAAACCCCACCCCCCAUUAUCUAAGUUCUAAAUUUAUUAACCAGAACAAAUUUUAACGCAAAAAAUGGCUGUCGUUUUGGCUGUUUUUUACGGUUUGCGAGGGGUUAUGACCCAGGUUUAAUGCUUGCAAUAUGAUUAAUCCUUCUGAAGAACGGUAAAGAUAUUUGCCUAGGAUUGAUCUGUUAGGCAAUUAGGCUCACAUUAUGGUGCGAAAUAUGACCAUAUGGUGUUAUUCUAUUGAUAAAUUAACAUAGUUAUAUGUGCAAUGUAAUUGUGCCAUUCUUAACUAAUUAUCCUUCUGCAUAACAAUUUUGCAUGUAGUAAUUGACAUUGCCUUACAGCUGCAUUGAAAAGGUUGAUCAGAUUCAUACCUUAAUCAGAUCUCAUGUGAGAUUAGCAUGCACAUGUUGACCCCUCUUGGAUCUGAUCACACGUUGAAUCUAUGUGAAAAAUGCAAUUUAUGAUAUCUUCUUAAUAAUCUUCAAUGCUUGUAAACUUGUUGUAGGCCUACAUUGUUGGGGAGCACGGUGACAGCUCUGUGGCGUUAUGGUCUAGCAUAAGUGUUGGUGGUGUGCCCAUUUUGAGCUUCCUGGAGAAACAGCAGAUUGCCUAUGAGAAGGAAACCCUAGAGAGAAUACACAAAGAAGUAGUAGACAGUGCAUAUGAAGUGAUAAGCCUGAAAGGCUAUACAUCUUGGGCAAUUGGGUAUUCGGCAGCUAACUUGGCUCGAUCCAUACUCAGAGAUCAGAGAAAGAUUCACCCAGUUUCAGUCCUUGCAAAAGGUUUUUAUGGCAUUGACGGCGGUGACGUGUUUUUGAGUCUGCCAGCACAGCUUGGUAGGGGUGGAGUCCUGGGUGUGACUAAUAUUCAUUUGAAUGAGGAGGAAUCUCAUAGGCUCAGGAACUCGGCCAAGACCAUCUUGGAGGUGCAAAGCCAGUUGGGAAUUUGAGAUAAUAAUACCUCGCAUUACAUAUGAUCAACUAGUUCUUCUGCUGCAUUUUAUAGGACUAAUCUGCUUUGCAGUUUAUGAGCGAUUGGACUUUUUUUCUUCUUUUAAUUUAUACCUAAUUUCUAUAAGUUAUGCUUAUUUUUGUAUCGUACUGCAUUUUGAUUUUUUUUCAGCUUAAUAAAUGAUACUUUUUUUUUUCGCAAUUAUGAAUUUUCUAUUACUUUGAUGAGUACGUGAACUGAGUUGAUAAUGUAUAGUUUUUACUUAAAAGUAAUAGCGAACUGGGAGAUCGUCACUUCCCCUGAUGCUUUUUAGCUUUUACUCGAUUACGAUUGUUCAGGAUUGUUGUUACCCUGUUGAUGUAAAAUUUUUGGUUGGAAAUAUGUGUGAUUCCAAUGGGCAAAAUAUGGAUGGCAUGAUCAUUCUUUUAUUUCUUUCUCAACCGCCCGAAUGGCAUUGCCAAGUGGUUGGAUUGUCUCUUUAAAAAUAUCAUAUUAUUUUCUCUAUUUCCUUUUUCUCUAUAUGUAUACAUUGCCUCUGUAAUUUUCCAUUUUCCCCCUAAGAUCGAGCUAGUAAAGGAGACUUGUAAGGAUAUGUUAUUCCGUAUUGGCGAUGGCAAUGGUCGGUACUGUAUCAAAGUGAGAUCCUACUAGGAAUACGGAAUAAUCCUUUCAUCAUUUAAAUUUAGGGAAAAAAAAAGAUAUAUUCUUUUUUUUUUGGAAAAUGCUAAGUAUUAAGAAAAACGAGAGAAGGACGAGAGAAUGAAGCAUGUGAUGGGAGGAGAGAGAGAGAAAAAAAACUGACAGCUGAGAGAGAAGAAGCAAUUCUCUCAGCCUUCUCUCGUUGUUCUUGAUAUUUAGCAGCACUCUUUUUUUUAUUGCAUGAAAGUAAAUUGGUGAAUUUUAAAAUUGGAAGGAAAGAUUUGAGUUCACUCUUUAUAGAAUUUGAUGUGAUGAGGCUGUUUUAAUUCACUCUAUGAUACUAAUAUUAAACAGAACAUACUGGAGUAGAAUAUUGGAAGUCAUUAACAUUAUACCUCCCAAUUUGGGAUUGAGAAUGGUGAGUUUUAAUACCAAGUUAUUUCUGCUGGCAAUAGAGUAUUUGUGUGAACUAAAACUUUGUUAUACACUUUUUUAAUCUCGGGUUUUGGUUCCUCUUUCUCCGUGCGUUAACCAUUUCCAAAAUUUAAUAAAGAAGAUGGACGGCAAAGGUUUAUGCUUUUUAUUUUAUCUAUGUAUUUUAUUUUGGAAAGAAAUCAAAAUGAACAAGCUUUACAAUAAUAUUUAGAUCAAAUUCUUCCCGUUUUACACUUUUUUUUUCUUCAAAUUUUAUAGAUUUAAAAGAGUUUAUAAUGGAGAAAAAGAUAUAGAUGGGUUUCAUUAGGUAAGUUUUCAUUUUUAGCGCUUAUUCUGUAUGACUUAUGUAAUAAAUAUGCGUGCUUGUUUAAUUUUAAAAAAAUAUUUUUUAAAUUUUUUGUUGUAAUUUGAUUGUAUUUUGAGUAGAGCUUUUGGAGAUUAUAUAAGUUAUUCUAUCUCCACUAGCAAAAGCUCAAAUUUUGAGUUUUUAAGAGUAAAGAUUGAAGAAACUUUUUUCAAAAUUAAAUUAUCUAAAAUACUCAUUAUUUGUUUCACAAUCAUAUUUCAUUCCUUUUAGAGAACAUGACUUUAAGAACUUGUAUGUUAAAGUGAUUUUAUAAAGUUUAAUAAAAGCUUUUACUGAUAAUCAAACAACUAUUUUUUUUUAUAAAAUCUAUAUUUAUAAAAAUUAUACUUAAAUAAGUUUUAUUUAAAAAAUUAUACCAAAUAUAAUCUUAAUAUAAUUUAUUAAAAAAGGGAUGAAUUUGUAAAUAAGAUCAAGAGAGGCUUCAUAAGGGAUAUAGAAGGGUACCAGUAGCAUCACUCUUUUUUAUUUAUUUUUAUCUAAGCCCAAUUAUAGUAAAUAACUUUUUUAAAAAAAAUGGAAAAUAAUUUUAGUUAUUAAAAAAUAUAGAAAAAACGAAUAAUACCCAAAUAAUUUAUAUAACUCAUUAUAUAGUAAAAUCUCAAAAAAACGAAUGUUCGAUAAAUUAAUAACUUUGAUUAAAUAAUUAAAUCAUUUGGUCUCAAUUUGGGCCAAUAUACUAAAUUAAUAAUGUUAGUAAAUGAUAAUAACUUUUUUUAAUCGUUUAAGGGCUAGUGAAAAUAUAAACUAGUAAUUAGUCAAAUAUAAAAGUAUUAAUAAUAAAUAAAUAUAAAAUUCAUGAUAUUAAGGAGUUUUUUUUUUUUACCACUUCAGUUUUUCUCAAUUCUAUUCUUUUUCAAAAUAUGCAUCCAAUGAGUUGAGACUAAAAAUAAAACUAAUGGCAAAGUAUUUAUGAAGUUUACUUUCUAUGUACUUUGAGCAUCUAAAACAAUUUAUCUUUUAAGGUAUUAAAUUUGAAAAGCAUGUACGUAAAUUUUAUGUCUAUGUAAUACUUGUAUUAGUUUCUAGGAUUCUAUCUAGAUGUUCAUAACAUUUAUUAUUAUCAUCAUUAUUAUUUUGUCGAUAUACUUGAUAAAAUUCAUACAUGAAUCUUGGUAAAAAUAAUAAUGCACAUAAUAAGAUGACACAAGUAAUUAAAAUAUAAAAAUAUUCUUAAUUUAACCAAUGUUUAUGACCAAUAAAUUAAUAAAUUAUUCAUUUAUUCCCAAUAAUGCACUACAUUACGAUAAUAUAUUUUUUGUUAGUCCUAAUAAUACUAUUUUAUAGAGGUUUUACUCAUGAUUAAUAUGUUAAGAUUUAUUCUUAAUUAAUAAAAGUGUACAAAUUAAACUGUGAAUUUUAAGGUUAUUGAAUUAAUAUUACUGAAUAUUGAUACUGAAAAGUAUUUUUAUUUUGUGAUGGGAGAAAACAAAAAUUUUCUUCUAUGCAAAUCAUUAUAUUUUCUGAAGAAUUUAAAAAAAGAGAGAGAAUUCCGGUUGUUGUCAUUUUCCCUCCAUCUUCCUUCAAUUCGUUGGUAAAUAAACAAACUUGGCAAAUAUCUUGUAACUGUCAACUACCCAAGCCAAAACACUAUGGCUCCCACAACCGCAGCCACCAAAUCGACGUCGUUCCACCACCGCAUCAUAACCCUAGACGCCGGCGUUUCCAAAUCAAUCCACACGCUCUUCCACACAUCAAUCCCCGGGUCCCUCCUCCUCCUCCUCGAAUACUCCGCCGACUUUCGCUUCUCAUUUCCCCUCGCACUCUCUCUCUACUUCACUCCCGUCCGCCGCCCUUACCUAAUCCAGUUCCUCGUCGGCCUCCUCGUCGACCUCCUCUUUGUCGGCCUCGUCAAAUCCAUCUUCCGCAGAUCACGCCCUCUCUACAAUCCCGACAUGAAGCCCGCCGUCUCCAUCGACCACUUCUCUUUCCCCAGCGGCCACGCCUCCCGCGUUUUCUUCGUUGCCUCGUUUGUUUCUCUAUUGGACGAUUUUAGCGGAAAUUGUUGGCUCGUCUUGGGCGUGUGGACUUGGGCUGUGUUGACUUCGUGUUCUAGGGUUUUGCUUGGACGGCAUUUCGUCUCGGAUGUUCUCGCUGGGGCGUGUUUGGGUGUCCUUGAAGCUGCGUUUGUGUUUCGCUUUUUGAAGGUAAAAACGAUUGCAGUCUCAUACCUACAAAAUUAAGUCAAUUGUAUAUGCUCUCCAAGCGUUGUAAAUUACAAUUCUUGGAUAUGAAUGAUUUUGCCUACUAUGUUUGAUUGCUGAUCUUUUAUUUAAUAAAAGCCAGGAAAGUUUUUUUGUUGUUCCGAAUACUAUAUAUCUGAAUGUGCUUUAUAAUAGCUAUAUGGUUUGAGAUAGUUGGUAAUUCAUUGUAUCUUGGGAUUGGUGACAAAUGUUCCUUUCAAUGAGGUAGCUUGAGUAAUUAAGGCAGAAACCAGCUUGCAAAUGAAAAUGCUGUUUACUCUGUUAUGAAUCUCAAUCUUUAUGUGAGUGCUUAUAUCAUGGGAAGAUACAUUCUUCUCUGGUAGGUUUGCAUAUGAAGAGUUUGCAUUCUUGUCUUAUAUCAUGGGAAGAUACAUUCUUCUCUGGUAGGUUUGCAUAUAAAGAGUUUACCUAAUGGAUAAUAAUAAUUUGCUGAGUUGAUUGUACCUUUCUUGCUAAACAUGCUCAUCUUUGAAAUGACUAACACUGAUUUUUAUUGUACUUACUUUAAAAAGAAAAAAGAAAAAAACUCAUAUUCAUUAGGCAAACCCCAGGGCAGCUGGAGCUUCCACACGGGUGGUGGUGGAGAAAGUUGAAAUUUUCUGUCUAUUCUUGAUGUACAAUAGCUUCCAUUUGUAUUCUUUUCAUAGAUUAUUUGAGUUGAAUAUCUAGAAUUGAUCUUUGAGUUUGAUUACAAGUAGUCUGGUACCACCCAGGUGCUCAUUAUCUUUCAAACCAAAUUUUUAGUGUAGUUUACUUAUGGCAUGCAUCUAUUGAAAUCAUGACUGAUGAGCUUAGCUUGCAAAGAUGAUUUGAGGAAGGAAAGUGACGUUGUUGCAUAGAGAAGAAUAACAUGACUGACUAGUUUUGAAUAAUUACAAAGAAGUAGUACAAUGUUGUUGUGUGAGGAGGUGUCACUGACCUUUAGGAUUAUCAAUGUUGGGCUGAGCUAGGCCACGGUGAGCUUCAAGAGUGAUAUGCCAAUGCCUAUCUCAAGCUUGGAUUAACUUGUUAUAUCCAUGUCCUCCUUAUGCAUAACCCAGCACAUGCUCUUAUUCAAGCUUUGGGCUGAAUUCGUGCUGGGCCAAAUUAAUGAAAACUUGAACACCCCAAGCUGUUUCUCGAUGGACUAGCUACAGUCAUUUCUUCUGUUAAAUUCUGAUUCAAUUGAUUGACUAAUUGCUUCAGAGGACUUAUGCACAAUCUUUCUUCUUCAUUUUUUUUUGCGCUUGAAUUUUGUUUUCUAUUAUUUUCUUGGAAUGAAUGAAAAUGUCAUACGGCAACAACAUAUUAGAUGCUAUAAUAAAUGGCUUGUUACACUAAAAUUUAAUUGUUCACUUCUGAGAUAUGAGACUAAUGCACUGGCAUUUGCGUCCACUACCUAUUAGAGGUUAAUCUGGAAAUCCUGGGUGUGCCUGCCAUUCAGUAGCUGAAGCUACUUAUUCUCCUAUCCAUUGGAGAUGGGUUCUUCUGUGCUGUUCCUUACUUCCUCUUGGAUAUUGCAUGGGUUUUGGCAGAAUCAGCAUUGUUAAUUCCAUGUUAAUAUCUGCAGGUGUCAUCUGGGCUUUUUUAUAUUAUUGCAAUUAUGUAGCUUCGUGAAACAAAUUGAAGCUGCGAACAUACCCCUUUUUUUCCAGAGUGCUUUGGCAGAUGGUUAUUUUCUCUUUUGCAAUGUAUUACCAUUAUUUAGAUGGGAUCAGUUGAUCUCCAAUUUUACUGUGCAGCCUUUGGAGAUUAUGUUUGUAAGGAAGGAGUGUUUGAACAUUUAAAUGAGAAUAUAUUCUCCACAAUAGUUGUAAAGCAGAGCUGCUAAGAUCCCUACUGGUAUAUAGCUAGGCAUUUCCCAUUUUAAAAAUUUUCAACUCCUUCAUGGCUGUGGCUAGACAACUUGGCAUAUAUGUGUUUAUGCCAGAUUGCCAGUUGCAUCACAUUAGCUAUCACGUAAUAUUCAGGGUGUGUUGUGGAAUCCAUUCAAUCCUACAAGGCCUACGGUGGCCGCGUUUGCAUACUCUACUGUCUUCUUAGGCCUUGUAGUCUGCUACUGAAUAGGGAUUCCAGCAGAUAUUCAAGGUUCUAAUUGACUGUAAUGUUAAAACAACAGUUAAAAAUUGGGAGGAGCGAAGCUGUUGUCUUCCAAUUAUGUUGAUAAAAAAAUAGUUUGACUAGAUAUGUGUUAGUCUUCCACUUUUUCACGCUUCAUUGAAAUAGCCUGUUCUGAUAACUGUAAAUUUGAUGCUUUAAGUGGAACUUUUUGCUUGUCCAAGUUUUGAAAGAGGAAUAAAUGAUUAAUUGUUAGCAGAAUCAUCCAUUAAGUAGCUGCUUUAUUCAUGAUGAGCUUUAUCAGAUAAGGUGUUGUUGAUUUAUUGACUGAUUGUGACAUCAGAAGCUAGCUAGAUUAGUGCUGUCAAUGAUUGUUAUAAGUUGCUAGUAGUCAUUGAGGUUGUUUAUUGAUGAAAAUUUGAAAUGUUACUAGAUAUAAAGUUGACUGGUAGCACAUGGGGCACUGAAAGGUUUACAUUCAUAACAGUGCUUGUUAGCUGUUUAGUUUUAUGGGGCACAAAAAAAAAACCUUGGGAUUUAUGUGAUUUGUUGUGUUUUAAUUGCUUUUGGUGAAAUAUGGAUGCAUUCUAUUAAAUCUGAGCAUCUCUACUUUGCAGUGAAAUUGGAACCAAUGCUGGUUUUCCGUAGAAACUGAGUUUCAAUCAUACUGUUUUCCCGUGGAAACUGAAGAUGGCUUGUUCCUUUAGUUUUUAGUAGGAUAUAACUAUCAGCUUUAUAUGUUUGAACACACUAGCUUUAGGGGUCCUACCACUUGGAAAUUUAGCCUUGAAUAUGUGGUUGGUUCUUCAGGUUCGUCUGUAUUGGAGUUUUGUGUCUGGUCCCCUUGUGCUUGACCGGAGCUUUUGGCUUUUGAGUUGGGAUAAAAGUUUCUUAAUCUUGCAGGAUCGCUGCAUGUGCUUUCAUCAUUGCUUUUAUAUCAUCUUAGUUUGAAUCCUUAAAAGUGGGCUCUCCUACAAAACCUACUAAGCUUUUUCUCCCAAACAAGAAGAGACAAUCAUUGAAAAACGCAGUGAGGUUCUUACAAAGCCUACUAAGCUUUUUCUCUCCCAAACAGGGAGAGGCAAUCAUUGAAAAACGCAGUGAGGUUAAUCAUGCGGGCAUCCUAGAUAGUCUAUAUUGGUAUUAGAACAGAUUAAGCAAAUUAGAAGAUUUAAGGAAAUCAAACUUUCCAGAUUGUGUUUUGAAUUUAAUUCAAGUCGUGUCGGCAGGAGCUCGGUCCCAUCGCUAGACGAUCAACAUGAGAAAUCCAUGGCAAAUACAACUGAACAAGAUAAGAGUCCACUCAAUGGCUUCAUCGCAUAUCUAAUGCCAACCUUUCAUUGAAAAAGAAAAAGGAAAAAGCUGACUUCUUGGCAAGGAAGUAAUGCAAACAUGUGAAUGUAAAGUAGGGGUGGGAAAAGAAAUAAACGAAUCAAAUUGUAAAUGAAUUGGGUCAAAGUUCUUCUGAUUCGGAUUCAAUUCGUUUAUUAAACGAAUUGAAAUCUCAUUAUUCGGAUUCGAUUCAAUUCGUUUAGUAGAAUUAAUAAACGAAUCCAAUUGAAUCCGGAUUCGUUUGUCCUAUUACGAAUCCAUAACGAAUAGAAUUGAAUCAGAAUUUGUUUAGAAAAAUAUAAUUAAUAAAUAAAUUAAGCAAAAUAAAAUAUUAAAAAGCCACAAAUUUAAUAUCCUACAACAAAAUACAAAUAACACACAAAACUAUAUUUUAGAAUUAAAUAUACAGUCAACCUAAUUACAAUAUUAACCUUCAAAUUUUUAAAAAAAUUCAAAUAAAUUUAAGGACAAAAAAGUAAUUUAAUUAAAUGAAUUUUAAACUAACGUUUAUUAAACGAAUCCUAAACGAAUAAGCGAAUCACUAUCUUCAAACCCAGAUUCAAUUCAUUUAAUUAGUGAAUCAAAUUGAAUUCACUCAUUUAUUAAACGAAUCAAUUUUUUCAAACCCAAACCCAUUUAAUUCGCAUUGAAUCGAAUCGAAUAAAGGAAUUAGGGGUGGGCAAAAAAACCGUGGUCUUAAAAACACCGAACCGAACCGACGAUUUUUUCUAAUUUGGAUAAGUUUUUAUUUAAAAAAAAACCGAAAUAUAUCAUUUGUAAAAAAAAUCAAAAUGUCGGUUCGGUAUUCGGUUCACUCAGCCGAACCGAAAAACCGAAUUAAUUUUAGAUUUUAUUCAAAUUGACAUGUGUUAAAAUUUUUUUUAUAGAUCCAAAUAUUGAGUUGGAAAUGCCUAAAGUUGAUGUUGAUAUUGAUGAAGAUGCGAGAAUGUUGUUGGCGUUUGUUUGUAAUUUUUUUUUUUUGGGUGAAAAUGGGAGAAUGUUGUUGGCAUUUGUUUCCAAAUUUUCUUUUUAUUUUGUGUUGUAAGUUGUAAUUGUUGUUAUUUUUAUUUGUCUUUACAACAUUAUGAUUAUGUUUAUGUAGAUGGAGUAUUGGAGUUUGGUUAUGUGUUUUGAAAUUUUAAUAUUUCAUAUUUUGUGAGUACCUUAUUAGUAGUUAGUAAGAUAUUAGUGAUAAAAUAUGUUUUGAAUACUUUGUAUUUAUUGUUAAUAUUUGUAAUGAAAUUAGGAUGAACUAAUUGUUGAAAAAAAUUAUUACACUCAUGAGGCCCAAUGGGCUAAAAAUUUGAAAAUUCAAAAUAGGCCCAAUAGGCCCAGAAUCGAAAAAACCGAACUGAACCGAACCGAUCCGAAAAUAUCCGUUUGAGUUUGGUUCUUAUUAAGUUCGGUUCUUAUUCGUUUCUUUUUAUAAAAUAACCGAUUUAAAUCAAUUCUACUUAAUUUCGAUCCGAACCGAACCGUGCCCACCCCUAAAAGGAAUCAUGACCCAUAUUCCAACCCUAAGAUUAUAAAGCAGGAUUAAGUCUGAGCAGGGAAGCCUGGUCUGCAUAGCGCUGAGCUCACUGUCAUUUAUUGGUCACUCCAGCUUGUGAAAGCAUCCCAAGAAAGUAAUGCAAACAUGUGAAUCUAACUGGAUUUGUGUACUAACAGUUCUUUCUAGGAGGCUAAAUGCUUUGGCUAUCGUUGCCGUGAAGUUUGGACAUACAUUUCGAUGAACUCAGAUAAAUUGAGCAUCUUUCUUUUUCCAAAAGAUCAGGACCACUGAGUGAAAUUGGAUUCUGGAGCCAAAUAAUGGUGGAUUUACACAUGUAUACGGAUUUUCGGCAGUCCCACUUCGUCAUCAUCUCUGCCGUAAAUCAGAACCUGGGCAGAGAAAUGCAGAAGCAAAAAUACUGACACUAUUUCAGUAGAAAGAUUAGAAAAGUUUUGGGUGAUGAAGGCAAUGUAUCAUUUGGAGCCCUGUCGCGUUGCCCCACUAGUUAUGAUGAAGAAGAAAGAGGGAGAAAGAGGAUUUGUAUAUUUGCUUUAAGUUCGCUUUUAUUAUCUUGAUUAUCAUUAGAAUUUCGAGUUUUGCUUGCUUUAAAUCGAUUUUCUUUUUCUUUUAAAUGUGAUGUAACUCAAUAAUUGUGAACGAAAGUAUAAAGUCUUCUCUUCUAGACCUAACGUGCGUGGAAGCUUUGCUCUUGAGAAAAUUUUUGCAUGAAGUGAAUCUUGAACUAACCUACUUGCAAUUUGCGAGUUGCGACGAAACUUGAGGGAAAAUUGCAUGGAUCAUGGAUGUGACCUCGCUAGGAGAUAAGAUUUUACCCAACAGGUGAAUAUUUUCUUUUUGACCAAUUAAGUAGUAAUCUUGUGUUCUGUUCAUAUCUGACAAAACGGGUGGCUUACUCAUUAUCUUGACAAAGAAAGUAAUUACUGUUUUUAUUUGGACACUCUGGAAUUGCCAUGUACUGCAAUCAUAUCACAUCAUUAAUUGCAUUUAUGAGUUUGUUGGAUCUUCGCUUCCUGUUAUAUUCUCUGCUGAAGAACUUGCCGUUUGGAGAUUAAAGUAGUGUAGUUGAAUAGGAUUUAUUCUUUUGUUUUAAAUUUGUAAAUUAGAAAAAUGGGUUUUAUCAAGAAUGGUUACGAACUGGCCCUAUAUAAAUAAAUAACCUACAGUUUAGUUGUUUUUUUACCGGCCUUUUGGUGAUGAAUUAUGCUUGGGGUUGGAAUGAUAUGAUUGAUUUUGAAUGACUCGUGGCAUGUUCAUAUGUUCUAUCCCAAAUUACUGAUAAAAGUUAUGGUAGGCAGAAAAUAGAACCCACCUAGACAUUUAGCUAUAUGGAGGACACAACACAAAGUUGUACAAAAAUGUUACAUUCGUGAAAUUCACAUGCUCUCAUUCAUGAAAUUCACAUGCUCUUCGGCCUGCAAGCCACCCUGUAGACAGACACAAUUGCUACUACGAAGCCUUAAUUCAACUCCACUUUGGCAUGUUUCCCAAAUGAGACAAAAAUCAAGGACUCAAUUUAUCAAAGACGCAAUCAUUCUACUUUGUGGGUGGUAUUUGCCUUCACUUAAAGUGAUUAGCAUUGUUGAGUAGUAGCAAAGAAAAACGCAAGUAAAUCCAAGAUUUUCAUUGUCACUGGAAAUUUCUUUCCACUUACUUAGUGCUUGCUCUCUGUUGCCAUUCACAAAUGAUAUUUCAAUUCAAUAAUUGUCCUCUAUGCAUCAUUAUGUGAAUGAUACUUUUCUUGCUUGUAACUGUUCAUUAUAUAAAUUCAAGAGUCUCUGGCUAAUCAAUUUGAAUUCAAAUCUUUGGGUGCCCCAAAGCUUUUCUUUACAGAUCAAUGUACCAUACUCUCUAGAAGGGCAAUAAUAGACAACCUAUUACACUAGCCACAUGAUGUGAAGACACAAAGAAAUAAACCCCCUUCCUUUUUGGCACAUGGAGCCUUUAAUUACAAGCAAGUUGAAACUAUUGACACAAACAAGCAAGGGAAUCGAUCGGAUCCGAUACCGUGCCCACUUCAAAAAUUGCCUCGAGCGGAUGAUGGUAUGGGCAGGCACAUGUUGUGCUGGUAAGGUACAUUUUAAUUGGAUAUGAUAUAAAAUUAAUUUGAAGUGAUUGGGGAGCAUACGAGAAUUGCUCCAUGCAUACUAGACACGAGGGGCGUUGGAGGGACCGGUUGUUAUUGCUUCAAUGAGUUGUUUCCCAACUGGAAGUUUGCUUAUCCCCUUGAGAAAUUUUAUUUCAAUGUUUAGUACUUGAGAAACAUGGAUUUGAUUGCCGGUUGUUGCUUUCUUUACCCACUCGACCCACUUCCAAUUCAUGAUAAUGAAAAUUAUUUUCAUUGUUGUGGAUUCAGAAAAAGUUUCAUCAAAGUUUUGUGAAUAGAAUGAAGUUUGCAGGCUUUUGGAGGCCGUGAAGGCAUGAAUCAUACAUUUUUAGUGCCCCACGUUCCAAAAAAAUCUUUAUGGCAUCCGAGUUUUGACCUUUGCAUCUCUCUCCAUUCAGUUCAAAGUGCUUAGCUCGAUUGUGCUCUUCACCGUGCAAUGUUUUUAAUAUCUUUCAAGAAAAUGCAUGCCAAGUUGAUGAACCAAAAUGAAUCUCUCUUAAGCAUGCCGUAAGCUGUAAUCUGGCUUUCUGUUUGUUCUUUUAAAGUGACUUCUGAAAGAGUUUGGCUAAAGAGCUUUUUCCGCAAUUAUAUAAUAUCUUACAAAAUUAUAAAGGUAUAUUUUACCUUACCUUUCAAGUAUGUGUCCGUAAAAGUGAAAACCUUCCAGUUUUAUUAAAAAUACAGCGCGUGCAAUGACACCAAAUCUCUUAAGAGCUGUCACCUUGAUAGUGAGUGGGAGGCCUUGAUCCAGCCGGUGGCAAAGAGAACGAUAGCUAGAUUCCAUGAGACAAUGAAGCAAGAAUCAACGGUAUCCAAUUCAAAAACUGAAAAAAGUAACAUGGGUCAAAAAAAUCACUUUAGCCAUCACAAAAAAAUAUAUAUACACAUACAGCUCAGAUGACCCAUAAAAUUUUCUUUUAUUUUGUUUCUCUUAAAAGCAUCAUUGUCUCCUGUCGCUACAGAAGUGAUCACUUAGUACCAUCAUUGGAUUGGACCCAAUAACAGUAACAUGCCAUGCAUAAAAGCCUUUUAGCAUCUGCUUAUUACGUAUGAAAAAAAAAUUCAUAGAUUACACCAUCCCUUCUAACUUGGAAUUGAUGAUGCUCUCCAGUCUUUGCCUCCAUUUGAACAAACAAAAGUUGUACUAAUCAAUAUAUAUACCCAGAAAAAAGAAAAAAAUAAUAUUUAAAACUUUGUUGAUAACUUGAUAUUAGGAUAUAUAUAUAUAUAAAUGAAUAUUCCCGUCUGAUUCCACUUUUAGAAAGGUCAUUUACAACAAAAGCUAAGUCAUCAAAAAAGGGGGAUUUAGGGAGGCAGAUCAUAUACAGCUGAUUCCCUAUUAGCAGCUACCAAUACAUUAUUGGAUCCACUUUGUAUAAUUUUCAAUGCCAAUAUUCAUGCUGAUCGAAUAGUGUCUUGAAGCAACACUAAUUUUUAUAAAGAUAUGCCAUCAAGACAAGGACCCAUAAGACUCCUCAAUUAUUGUCUAUGUACGCAUUCACUUCAUCAUCUUGGCGCGCAAAAACAUCAAUCCUUCAUUUAAUUUUGCCGCUUAAUUAAAGAUAAUAUUGUCAUUUGUGUAAAACUGUAACGUACGUAGCACGAGUGCCGCAAGCUACGCAGAGGCCAUGAUUGAAAAAGUUUUAAGAUGUAAGAUAAAUUAUAAUUCAUUUGGAGUGCGUUUGUUAACUUGCAUUAUAGUGUAUUAUGUUGCAUUAAAAUAUUGUACUUAUGCUAAUUCAUAUUUGGCCGCAUAAUUCUAUUUGCGUUGUACUGCAUUAAAAAAAAAAAAGUGAGUAAUAUGAUGAAAGAAGCACAAAAUAAUUUCAUGAGAAAAUAAGGUUUAGACUGUAUUGCAUUAAAACACUAUAUAUAUUUUAAAUUUUAAUAAUUUUAUUUUAAAUAUGUGAAGGAAUCUAAUUAUUUAAUUAUUUAUUAUUUACUAAAAUACUAAAUCUAAAAAUAAAUUUAAAUCAAACAAUCAUAUUAGACAUUAAUAAAUAAAAAUUAAUUCAUAGUUAAAUUUAAAAUUUAAUAAUAUAACUUAAUUUAAUUUAUAUUAUCAUUUAUAUUAUAGUAAAUAAUAUAUAAAAAUAAUUAUUUAAUAAUGAAUUUAAAAAAUUCAUAAUAUAAUAUUAAAAUAUUAAUAAGUUUAAAUAUUAUAUUAAUUUAAGUUUAAUAUUAAUAUAAAAUAAUACUACAAAAUAAUAUUACAUAUAAUACAUUCAUACUAUACUAAAUAUAAUAUUGUAUUAUAAUUUAAUGGAAUACACCGCAAUGCAAUGCACCAUAAUGUAAUACAACUAAUCAAUAUAAUGUAAUGCAGUGUGCCAAACGCACCCUUGAUGCAUUGCUUCUUGUUUUUUUUAUUUAAUUGGAAACCUUUGAUUUUUGUAAUUGCUCUUAUUUUUUUCUAAUCGGAAAUUAACAUUUGAUUUUUGUUAAACCUACGUUUGCUUUGUUGGUCUACCAAAUUUUAUACAAUGGUAUAAAACUAUAAAAUACACUGUAAAUUGAAUGAUAAGAAUAAAAAUUUCGAGAGCCACAAAAACUUGAGAUUAGAACAAAAAUAUGAAAUGGCCAAAUAGCAAAAUUAGUCAAUACAAAAAUGGCCAAAUUGAAUGAUAAGAUGGAGGCUUAGUCUGAAAAUUACUCAAUAUGAAUGAGAUUAGAAAUUAGUCAAUAGGAAAUGGCCAAAUGGCAGAACAAAAAUAAGUCUAAUCCUAUUGUUAAGGCGUCCCCCACUCCCUCAAGACAUGACCACGUGUGGAUAUCCUCUCCGCCAUCACUUUCAAAGAAGCCUCGCAAUUCACAAGCUUAAUUAAUUCACUUCUAAACUGUAUACUUAUGGUUCAUGCUAAUUGACAUUUACAAUAACUUACAGUGCAGCUAAAUUACAAGUUCACUCCACCAUUGAUCCUACUAUAUUACUUAUAUUCACACUAAUAUGAUUGGUUGUAAGUUACUAUAAUGGUAACUAAGCAAAAGCUUAUACUUAUUAUUUUAUAUAUGAGUGAGUUUCCAAUCAGGCAUCCUUAACUAUAUUGAUGUCGGAGGUAAAAAAUAAAAAAAUAUAAAUUUCACUAUACUACAGGAUAAAAUACAUUGCAUUAAAGUCUAUAUUUUUAAUUUAUUUUUGACUUUAAUACAAUUAAGAAUCCUUUAUUAGAAUAUAUAUGUGUGUGUGUAUGUAUUACAUAAUAAAAUAUAAUAUAAGAAAAACAUAUAUUAUAAUAUAUUACAUAAUAAAAUAUAUUGUAUUAGAGUGUGUAUUUUCCUUAUCAUUCAAUUUUUUUUUUUAAUAAUUUAAAGAAUUCUUUAUUGGAUAAGGGAUAUAUAUAUAUAUAUAUGUAAAGUACCAAAAUCAUUCCCAUUAUAUAUUCUUCUAUGAGAUAGUUUUAUCUUCAUUCAAUUUUAAGACAACUUGUACCGAUGGUUUUUUCAAUAGAAUAUAUGUAUUCCAUAUAUAUAUAUAUAUAUAUAUAGAAAAGUGAGAUUUUUGACGUUAGUAGUCUGGCACUCAGAACUAAGUAACAGGUUUGCCUUUUAAAGAGAUGCGAUUAUACAUAUUGCCAAAAGAAACGACUUGUGAUUGGGACUAUCUUAAGAGUUAAGCUCUUGUAUGUAGUGGGGCCAUGUGAGAGAGGGAAUUAACACAACUUAAUAUGGACACAUGGCUUUGGGAUAAGGGGGAUGGUUUCGGUCUCACAAAGAGUUGACACCAUUAUUUUCAGGGUUUAGUGACUUUGAUUUGAUUUCUCCUCGCCCAUUUCAUGAUAUUUAAUGUAUUAUGUGAAUGAUUUGAUUUUGAUAUUCAUUUCGCAGUUCUCUGUCGUUACUGUUAAGCCAUGUCAUCGAACACAAACUUUGCUUUUAGAUUCCUAUGAAAGCUUAAUGUGUGUCUUCUCGUCAAAAACCAUAUUCAUUAUAAUGAACACAAAGUAUCUCACCCAUUUAUCAUGUUCAUAUUAAACUCUUGGUUCUUUCCUUAUCUUGUAGCUAGUUAGCACAGUACUCAAUUAAUUUGGUCGACAACUGAUAACAACUAGAGUUUGAUUGACGUUACGUUCAGUAACCCAACAUGGAGAGCCUUAAUCUUUUUGAAGACGUUGAAAUGGUUCAUAAUUCAAUUAUUCAAAUAAAGACUUCUCAAUGAGAAAAAUAUGUAACAGCAAGGUCCCCACCGAACUCAUUAAUUUCUUUGGCGUCACUUUUAAUUUAUUCGCAGAUCCACACCUUACUAAAAUGGUAAAAUGUAGGGACUAACUAGUGAUACAUGUGGGGUUCAAUCUUUGUGAUGAUUGAUAACCAUUAUACUAUUAUCAACCACACACAGAAAGUCAUUGCAAUAGUUGUUUCAACCAUUAAUUAUUGCUCGAACUAUAACUUGUGGCUUAACUUGAAAUAUAUAAAAGAAAGGUUAGAAGUUAAAUGUAACAUCCAUCAAUACAAGUAUUGCACCCACUAAGUUUUUUAAGUGUUGUUUUGGGUUUGCUCAGUGUAAUAUUUUUGUGUUUGAUGUAUAAUGCAACAUAGCCUUGACCACCAGAUAUGGGUGAAUCAGAUCGUUUGAUGAGUCUGCGAGUCAGGCCCGUGGCCGGCUCAGCAUAUAUCGUCGGCAUAGAUACAGUUCACUUUUAACCUACGUAUACGGAGAGAAAUCCCACCUGGCCCCAACGCUGUGCUCUUAUUUUAACAACAAUAUAUGUUAGUUUACUGGAGUUAAUAUAAUAUACGUAAACCCUAAUUACCCGUCGCUUGCGUAAUAAACCAUCUUCUAGGCCAAGGCAAAGCGCUGAAGUGAAGUAAGAAAAUGGAAGAAAAUGCCUCGAGAGAAGAAGAGAAAUAAUAAAAUAAAAGAAAAGUGGGGGGGGGGGGGGGGGAAAUAAAUGUGGAAGCGUGGGGAGUGGAAGAGCGAGCCGCAUGUGCAUAAUUAUUCUUGUUGUUCCCGUUCGUAGUGGACGCGUGUCAGACCAGUUUUGGCUUAACCUCCCCGCCCCGUCGUCCGGCUCCGUCCACACGCACCGUUUAAUCAUACGAUCACUUUUAUCUGUUUAAUUAAUUAUUUUUCAUUUCAUUUCAUUUUACAUUUUAAUAUUAUAAAAAUAUUAUGUUUCUUACAGUUACAUGGCAGCGGACUACUGCCGUUCUCUCGCUCUUUCCUCUGUUGCAUCACUUUCACGUAUUUAAUGUAUUGUGCUAUUCUUUGAAUUCAGAAUCAAUUUUUUUUUUUUUUUAAAUACAGGGUGAGGGUGGAUUUGUUUAGCCGGACUUUUGAAAACAACAGUACUUUUGCUUAAGGAAUUUAUUAUCUAUUAGUGCACAGAAAGAGAAGAAGAAACAAAGGGAAUUUAUUGGAUAGUGCAAUCCCUAUUUCCCCCCCUAAUAAUUUAGUUGUAGACUGAUGAUGUUACAUGCAAAACACAACUUGAUUUAUCUCAUUUGUUAAAUUAAUUAAUACAACUACAUUUCACCUCACGCACCUGCUAAGGUUCAUUGUAUAUAAUUUAUAUUUAAUCCAAAAAUAAUUUUUUUUUUUAAUUUCUUUGGUUGUUUGACAAGAAACAAUUGAGUUACAUGAAAGAAAUUGAUAUUAAGUUGAUCUAAGGUGCAAAUUAUGUAAUUUAACAGCAUCCUUCAUGUCAUAUUCGGGAGAAUUGAAAGGUAUUGUUUAUUUUUAUGUCUGAAAAUUGAAUAAUGGGUACCACACCCAAAACUUUAUGCAAAUUUUAUUUGGAACCUUGCAAUCUUUUUAAAAUAUGAAGAAGAAGCAUAUAUAUAGCUUAAAAUGAUAUUUAUGUCAAAAUACUAGUUUUCAGCUUUUUCUGUUCAGACGUUAAGAAAAGAAAACAAACAUGUCAUUUAAGUAUUUGCGUCCAAACCUAUUUAAACUUCAACUAUAUUCAGAUUUUAGAUUAAAAAAAACAAAUACAACUUUCUAAAACCUUAGGUGUUGGGAUAAAAAAACUGUUUUUUGUGGAUCAAAGCAUAGACAUUUUUAAUUUUUAUGUCUAAUCUAUGAUAUAUACUACUAUGUACACAUACUAUAAAAUUUAGGAUAUCAAAAUUUGAGAAUAUAACGAAAAGUUGGAUAUUUUAAUUUGAGAUUGGAGGUGUUAUUAACUUAAUAGCACGACAUCAAUUUCAUAAAAGUACGUAUAUUCAUUUUAAUCAUAACCCAAUAACUAACUCAGUUCCUUCUCAACCCAAGACUUCUAAUUUUAGCCAAAACAUUUUACGAACAUGUUCAGACAUUGAUGUUUGUAGACAAUAUUAAAGCAUUUACAACUUCCCGUUUAGCCCAAUAUCGAUGAAUUUAUUGUAGUCAUUGAUUUGUCACUUUCAUUAGAUAGCUUUUGGAUUUUCUUUUUGAAAUUUGUUUUACUUUUGAUCCCGUAAAAUGUAGUAGGUCAUAAGAUUAAGUUCUGUUUCUUCCAAAUUAUGGAUCAUUUUGGAGAGAUUUGUUGGAAAGUCAAAAAACAGAGAAAAUAAUGUUAUAGAAAGAAUACUCUUAAAAUAUCAUUCUUUAUUUAUUUACUAUUUAAAACGUGUAUAUUUAUAUGAUUAGUUGAAGCGUGACAAUAAACAGAAGGAAUAAUUUUUUUCAAUAGACUUGAAACCCAACUUAAAUUGAAUUAUACGGCGAUAAGUAGUUAAAUAAUAAUAAUAAUAAUAAUAAUAAGAUUGUUGCUAACAUGACCUUCGGUACUUAAUGGAUUGUAUGAGUUAUUUGUUGGAAUUGUUGCUGUUGCAUAAGAAGAUUCUACCAACAAAAAUGUCAAACAAAUAAUAGAUAAAAAAUAAAAAAAAAAAGAGAUACGUGAACUCAUUAAAAUAUUCUCUACACCCAUUUGCUAUGUAAACCAAUCUGCCUCUCAAAUUUGAAAAUUUAAAAUUUACUAUAUAUAUAUAUAUAUCCAAUCAAAUACCAAAUCUGCCCUCUAAUAACUAAUUUUUUUACAUUUUCACAUUCUUUUUUACUGAACAAAAUAUAUUAGAACGAUUUAUCUGUCAUUGAUUACCAAGCAACCAAAUAUUUGUUCAAAUAAAAUCGACAAAAGAAAUCAAUCAAACCCAUUUUAAUAUUAUUUUUUAAUUUUUUAGGUGUGCAACUUUUUAAUCAUGACUUAUAAUGUUCUUUAUUUCUCAAGUUUUCUUUCUUUGCAAGUGAUUUCAAAAUCCAAGCUGAAAUAAACAUAUAAAGAUAAUUGGGAACUAAUCUACUAGCUGCAGGUUAAGAUUAAGCCUUAAGGCACUUGCAGGCGUAGCCGAAAAUUAAUGAAUAGAUCACUAACAGGAUUUUUUUAUGGCAUGCACAGUUACGCGGUGACAUGAGUCGUGAGCAGAACAGGAAGCAUAAGGCAAAGGCAAAGCCGAUCAGUGAGCAUCUCUCUCGAUUUAUUUAUUUUUUUAAUUUUUUAAUUUUUUUUUUUACAAAUAAGCAUGAAAAAACACCUCCUAAGACAAUUCCAUUACUUUAUUAAACGAGGUUAAAAAAAGAUUAGAAAAACACAUUAGCAUAUUUCCUGCUAAAAAAAUAAAUUAUUGAUUUUGAAAAAUUUAGAAAAGAGCAAGGUAUUUGGAAUGGAAGAGAUUCCAUAGUUUAAUGCGAUACACUCCUCUCUCUCUCUCUCUCUCUCUUAAAGGAGCGAUACAUUCAAUUUGUGAAAGUGACACAAUUGUUUAUGAAACAAAAUAAUUAUUUUUGCCACAAAUCUAUUUUAAUAUUUUCCUUUAAAAAAAAAUAAUCUUUUGUAAUAUUUCUAUUUGAAUUAACAAAAAAUAAAAUGACUUAAAAAUUAUCCGCAACAAUAUCAAUAGUAAUUGGAGGUGAUAUUUUUCACACUCAAAAGUUUGGAAAAAGUUCAUAGACCCAUUAACAUAAUACAAAUUUACAUGAUAAAAGCAGUUGUUCGAUUGACCUUUAUCAGUCAAGUCGUUAAUGAAUCAACCUAUUAAAACCCAUUCCAUAAGGGAUCAGAUCCACUUAUAAGAUCAAAACAUUUCUCUUUACCCAUUAACAUUUAAAUGUAAUAAUUCAAUAAAAUUUUCACAACUUAAAUUAUAAAUUUUAAAGAAAAAUAAAUUUUUUAAGUUCACUACUCGUGUAAAAUAAGCGUUAAUGCUCGUUUUGUCCUUAUAAACUAAGGAAAGGUUUGUUUUUCUGACUUAACGACUUAAUUGAUAUAAUUUCAAUCAAUUAAGUCACUAAGGUCUUAUUUGUGAUUGAGGUGAUAUAACUUUUAACUUAUAGUUACUAUGAAAAAAAAAAACUGUAACUAUAAAACAAAAGUUAAUAGUAUGAAGUAAAAAUAAUUUUUAAAUAAUAACUUUAACAAAAUUAGUAAAGAUAUAAUAGAUUUUUUAUCGUAUAAGUGAAAAAUCAUAUAAUUAUAGCUUUCAAUUUAUAAUAAUCAGUGUUUACCAAACACUUUAGUACUGUAAUUUUUAAGUUACAGCUGUCCACCCUCAAUUCUAACCAGGGCCUAAGUGUGUUAGUUUUUUCAACUCAAUGAAAAUUUUUAGUUAUUAAGUUGUUAAGCCAAUUUUUUUAGCUUUUUACGCAACCUUAAAAGUCUGAAUGACAUCAUUGUAACAUAUUUUGUAAAAUAUCCUUAUUCAAAUUAAUUUAUUUUCAUCUUUAUCUAAAUUAAACUCACUAAUUAGCAUUAUUUUUCAUCUUUAUAACUUGUGAUAAUAUAGUUGGAGAUUAUUAUUAUUUUUAAAUUAGUAUUAUAUAUCUUUACAAAUUUUUAUGAAUAUUUUUCAUAUAAAAUAUCAUAAGCUAUAAUAAAAUUGAUCAAUAUAUUCUAGUUUAGAGUAUUAAAGGGUUGUAUUUAUUUGAACAUAAUGUAUGUUAUAAUUAAAUACUAGAUUAUUUAUGCUUUUUGAUAUGUUUAUUAUUUGUUUAACAUUAAAAUUAUGUAAGGGCACAAAUGUAAAAUAACUUGAUUUCAAAAUUUUUAAGUUGAAAAAACCAAUGGGUACUUAUUUUUAGAGAUCUAGAAAAAAACACACAAUAUUAUAUUGAAUAUUAAUGUGUAUUCCAAAUUCAAAAUAAUCCAAAUAUAUUUAGAUUACAGAUUAAAACAAUAUUUUUUUAAAAGAAGACAAAUUAAUUUAGCAAGAAAAAAUAAAAAAAAUUGAAAGAGAGAGAAAUUUGUUCGGAUUUUUAUCAUUAUUACAACAGAGAGAGAAAGCAGUUAAUACGGAUAAUUUUGUAAUUUUUUAAAAAUUAAUAAAUUAAAAUAUUAGGUUAUAAAUUUGUAAUGAUUUUAAUUAAAAAAGAGUGUUGAAAAAAAAUUAAUAAGUUUAAAUAAUCCACCCAAAUUAAAAUCGGUAUUGAUUCUAAAAACUCGAUCCUACUACAUUUGAUCGUAAUAAAUUAUAAAUUUAACAAAUUUGACCAUCAUGUUGUUGACUGUACUUCAUUGAUGAAUAAAAUAUAUUAAAAAAUCAACACCCACAAUAUAAAUAAGAAAAUUUGAAAUAAUAAUUAUUAAGAGAAGAAGAUGUGCAUGAUCGAAGAGUAGUUGGGAAAAGAUCAUUCUUCUGUUUAGGUUAAAAAGGUUUCCAACUUUAACCAACCGCAACUCAGUCAAUGGGGGAGGCACCAAAGGUUCAGUAACGUAUGCUUGUUUGCACAAUUGCACUGCACUGCUUCCCAUAAAGCCAAAGCCUUACUUCUCGACAACUCCAUCUUUUGCGUUUUCUUCGCUCUCAAUUUCAUCGAACUAUAGAAUUAUUCAAAUUUUUUUUUAAAAAAUUUUAUUUAGAGCAAAAUUUGAAUAUUUUAAAUACAGCAAAAAAUAAAAAUAAAAGGAUAAGAAAAGACUGAAAAAAAAUUAAUGAUUACGCAGUAAAUGCCAUUAAGGAAACGCCUCAGUUACUAGUCGUCAACUGCCACAACACAGUCUUCUGUCUUUUGUUCAAACUUGUCGCAAAAUUACGACGAUAUUUUACCGAUAAAUUACAAAAUAUCGUUUCUUUAUCCGUGUCCCUUACUUAAAGAAUACGAGAGAGGAAGAAAAAUGAAGGAACGAACAAGUCUUUCUCAAACUUUGUUUUUUUGCCCCUUUCGUAACUCAGUUUGAACACCCAGUUAAUUACCAUUCUGCCACUCUCUUAAUUACCGCCUGCAGCCACCUCCAAUGCCGCGUAUAAUAUAUAUAAUCACGCACUAGAACAUCAACAACAACUGAAAAAGAAAUAUCAAAAUAUUUUUAUUUAACGGGAAUAAUUAUAAUAAUAAUUUUAUUCUUGCUUUGCCAUCAAUUCAAGCUAAAACUCAACUCUCUUUAUUUCAGUAGUCGCUCCCUCCCUCCUUCCUCUUCAUUCGCCGAAUCUCUUCGUUUGUUCGUUAAGUUGUAUUUGCUUGGAUGGAAAAGUGAGAGAGUAGUGUGAGUGAAUUAAACUUUGUGUGAUUGAGAUCCAGAAAAUGCGGGUGAAAGAGAUGCAUCCGUUAUGCUGUAUAUCGCUGGAAAGUCCGGAGAUAGGUGACCAGUCACCGGAAAUGUCGCUGACGAGGGCUAGGAGUUUACCGGCGGGGGCGGUGACCGGCUUUUGCGGAUCUGAGGGGAAUGCGAAAGGAUCGGAGGCCACCGUGGCGGGGGUUUUGUACAAGUGGACGAAUUACGGUAAAGGAUGGAGAUCCAGGUGGUUUUUGUUGAAAAACGGAGUGCUUUCUUACUCUAAGAUUCGGAGAACGGAGUAUUUGAAUUUACCCUCGUCCAGGGAUGACGUCAGAUUUAUCGGUGAAAUUUCCACCAAUCGGCCUUCGAGAACGGACAGUGGCGGCUUUAGACGGAAGCAACAGAAAGACGUUGGCAUUGUUCAUUUGAAGGUAGCAUGUAGUAAUAAACAUACAAUCAAAAUAUAAAAAAUGCUAAUUAUAAAUAAAAGUGAAUUAUUAGAACAAGAGAUAAUUUAAAAGCCUUUUUGGCGGUACAUUACAUAAAGAGGUUGCUAAAAUUGGUUAAAAAAACUUUGAUUAAAAAAUUACUAAUUCUACCAUUUUUUUUUUCUAUUUUAAGUCUUGAAAUUGUAAGUUUAUAUUUGGUAAUGAAAAGAAAGCUUUGAUGUCUGAGCAAAAAGCAAAGCAACAGCGGAGAGCUGAAGGUGCAGACUGUACAGAGCUACUCUUCUUUGUCAUGUAAUUUACUGUGAUGUGAUCCAUGAAGGGCGUUCCUUUCUCUCUCUCUUUCAUCAUUUUUGUGAUUUGCGAUUUCGAAUUUCAAGUUCAUCUUUCACCUUUAAAAGCCUGGUGUUUUUCUUUUUUCCUUUUCUUUUUUCAACAGUUUAACUGGUUGUUAAUUCGAGUGGGUCACAUCAGCAGGUGGCCUCAGACGGGUUUUGAUAGGCUACAGUGUAGGUCUAGGUGAUCCGCUGUCGUGUCACAUCAUCUCUUCUUGAUCGGUUUUCGUUGGUUUAAUAAUCGGGGGAUUUCAUUCAUCUUCAUCGUCCAUUUCUUUUCUUUUUCAAUCUUUUCAUUUAGUUAACUCCAUACAAACAAUAAUCUCUUCUUCAGAUUCUCACGUCCCAACCCGCCCUGAUUGGUCAACUUACCUUGUUUUGUUUACCAUCUUCCAUCUUAGACUGUGCACUUUUUUCUUUUUUUCAAACGUACUGAUGGAACAGUGCUCAGAUUAUUAUUUUUUUUUUUUUUGGGUUUCCUGUGAAGGAUAGCGGUGGGAAUUUGUUUGUGGCCGUCACUUUGGGCGUUUGUGUUCUUUGACGCGUUCUGCUGGUUUACUUUAUUUUAAGCUAUCUGGUCUACGAGCGAUAGGUUUCGAUUUUCCAGUGAAAUAAAGUAUCGAAGAAAACAGUCGUGGGGACUUUUAGUCAACAGUCAGUGGGACUUUUUAACUUUAAGCUAUAUGGAGAUCGAGGAUGAGAAACUAAGAAUAUUCUUUGAGCUUCUUACACGUAUGCUCCUUUCACCAGAUCUGAAUACUGAAUAGGUUCCCAUUUUGUUUUGACCCAGUGGUAAAAUAAUCUUGAGUUUACUGAGUUUUAGUGGGUCUCCCUGUUAGUUAGUACCUGAUAGCCAUUUCCUCAGUUCAGUUGGGUCAUUGGCUUUUGGUGACCUGGAGGGGAUUGUCUGAUUUCUGAGUUUACGACUGGUUUCGCAUCUGGGUACGAGUACUAGUUUGACUCGUGCAUUUAUUCUCGUGUUUUAUGUUACCGUGAUGAGCAUGUAUUUCUCUAAUGGAUUUUUUAUUAGACAAUGUGAUGAUGCCAGAGUUCGAAAAUUAUCACAUUAUCUUACAUAGAUUUUAUUGGAAUUUUUUUCUCAGAUCUCGUCAUUUCGAGAGAGCAAGUCUGAUGAUCGGCGGUUUUACAUAUUUACUGCUACGAAGACCCUACAUUUGAGGACUAAUUCGAGGAGAGAUCGGGUUGCUUGGAUACAAGCUUUGGUCUCGACUAGGAGCCUAUACCCACUGAGAACACUGAAUGCUGGUCUCUCCAUUGUACCAAAAGAUUUAUCUAUUUCAACUGUGAGGCUUAAAAAGCGCUUAGUUGACGAGGGAGUUAGUGAGAACCUUGUCAAGGACUGCGAGCAGAUCAUGCUUUCAGAGUUCAAUGAAAUUCAAGGACAAUUCAAAGUUCUUUGUGAGGAACGAUCCAAUUUACUCGACACCAUAAGGCAGUUGGAGGUAAUUGACUAAAUUAUGAGUAUGCUUUGUUAAUGAAAUGCUUGUAACAGUCUUGAGGACUUGUUUUUGUCUAUAGCCACAAUUUUAAUUCGAUGUAAACUAAAUUUAGUAUUUGCUGAAUUUUUAUGUUUACUUGGAUGGUGCAUUUAAUUCCCCCUUUUUUUUUUCCUUCUCUAGAUUAUAGUUUAAUAUAUCCGGGGAGGAUGUGAUAAUUUAAGAAAUAUAUUCUGUUUUGUUGUGCUUCAGUGGAUUGUAGUCAUGAUUACUUGAAAGUUUUCAACUUUUUGAUAUUUUAAUUAAGGUUUCUUGGGAAGUUAAUUAACCUCUCAGCCUCGAAUUGCCUUUUUUUUCUUCCCUCCCCGUCAUCAUCUCCCAUUUUUCAUCUAAAAUCAAGUUGUUUAAAGUUUUCCACUUCAUUAGCACUGCUUUUGAUCUUUGUUUCUUCUGACCAAUCCUCUUGAACAAUUAUUUAAUGUUGUCUUCAAUUGGUUUUUUCUGAACUUCAUGGAACUUCCACUUCUUCCUCCACACCCACCUGCCCCCAACAACUAUUUUGGGCUUUGAUUUUCUGUCCAAUUGCCUUAACCUCUUGACUUUUAAGCCACCAUUUCUUAGAGGCAUACUUCAAAUUGUUUUUCGCGAUAAUAAACUUCAUUGAUGAAACCAUGCAUUUCAGAUGCUGAUGUUUGUUUGAUGGGAAUAUAGUAUGCGUAUCUACCAUUUAUAACUACUCAGUUCAACAAAAAGAACUUCGAGCAUGUUUGACAAUGGUAAGAUAAACACUUUCUUUAGUUAUUUUGAUGCAGCAAAUGCAUAGAACAUUCAGUGUCAUGUCAAUAACUGCUGGUAUUUACUUAUAUCAAGAAACUAAUUGAUAUUGAGCUAUUUUGAGACAGGUCUGCUUUUAAGAUUGCUUCUUGUUACAUAUUUUGUUAAAAUCCUAAUUUAAUACCCCUAGGUUCCAGGUGUUUUAGUAUCUACAUUUUUCAAAUAAGAUAAGAAUGUUAUCUGGAUUUGUGAACCCUUCAGCCUUAAGUUGAGGGAUUGAAAAUUGAAACAUGUUACUUUCUCAAAUAAUUAAUAUGACUUUCGGAUUUCCUAUUUCAUGUUUCUGAUAUGAGCAAUGACCAGCUCUAGUCGAGCAACCUUCCCAUGCAAAAUAUCUUUUCUUUGCCGGUGGGCUAUUUUAUUUCUUCGUAGAUGCUUGCUUUAGAUGUUCUUUCUUAGUCUACUGGUCGCUAGAGGAUAGAUGGAGUUGCAUAAAACUUUUGUGUCAAAUAAAUGCGGCAAACCAGUUCCAUUAUGGAGGUUAACCAGCUAUAAAGUUUAGCCAUGUGUGCUAAGUGCACAUCCAACCUUUUCCAACACUUAGCCUGUCCUUAAUUUACACAUGCAAACUCGAUCCCUGCUUCAGUAGAUAAUGUCUAUAAAAGACUGGUUGUGCUUAUGGACAAAAUCCCUUUAGGUUUUAUUGAUCUCUACUAUGCCAAGCUAUUACAGCUUCUAUAGGUUUGAUUGCAAUAUUCCGACCUGACCUUGCUAUUUAGGAGUUCCAAAGUACUCUUCCAGGGAGGUAUUACAAGGAGUUCCAACUAGUAAUUUUGCACCAACAUGUUGGUUUUUUGUUUAUUUAGUGUAAUAUAGGCUCCUUUUCUUUGCUUUUGCUAAGGACCUAAAAAGUCGGUGCAACCUCUUGUAACCUUGUUAUGGAUCGACAGAGAAUUCAUGUCAUGUCUUAGUGCAAAAUGUUUUCAUUCAUUUUUUUAAUCUUCAGAUUGGGGUAUCCGAUUUGUAAUGUAUGGGGUUAGUUGUCAUGAAUUUGUCACCCUGAUGAUAUAAUUGAAUGGAACCAAAAACUUAUUUAUUUUUCCAAUGUAAUGUCAUCAUAUGUGUUUUUAUGCAUAUAUUUGUGUAGAUAGAUGGAUAUAUGGAUAUUGAAACUCAAAAGCUGAAAAGAAUACGCGUCGUCUUGGUGCUCGUAAUUUGCAAUUAGUGACACCGGUUAUUUGUCACAACAUGCAAGUGGUUUUGAAUUUGUUAUUUUGUCAAAGUUUCAUAUUGAAAGGUGUAGAUUGAAUAUUUUUGGUUGCUUGCUGUUUUUGUCGGUUUUCCAUAUGUGCCUUCACUUUUUUAUUCUUUAUUUGUCUGUGAUAUUUAAAUUUGGUUUCCUUUUAUAAAAGUGCAAGUGUGACUUAUGGUUAGAUCAUAUAUGUUACGAAAUAAGCUUAGCUUAUCCAUUGUAUAUCAAAAACUUUUCCUUUUCUUAUGCAGGCUGCUAAUAUUGAAGCUGAUGCUUCUGGAACCCCUGAUGGUGAAUACCAAUUGUCCAAGCAUGAAUUUUCUAAUCUAGGCCGUGGAAAAUAUAGUGGUACUAGUGAUAUCCAUUGUUUAAGCAUCUCUUUCUUUGUAGAAAAGUUUAAUAUUUUUUUUAUAUUUAAUUAUGUUCCUCACAUCUCUUUUCGGUUUUCAGAAUGUAGCACAACUGAGUCAUCUGAUGAUAUUGAGAAACAAGAGCUUGAGGAGGUAUCAGAUGACGAUGAAAUUUCCUUCUAUGAUACAAGGGAGUUCUUUACCGAACCCUCUGUUAGUUGUAGGCCUGUAAAAGAAGUUACAAAUCACGCCAGGGAGGAAGAACAACCAGGAAACACAUUUAAUACUUCAGAGAAGAUGUAUGACGAGAAGGAAAAAUGUGAUUCUAGAUAUCCAAACAUUGAAAGGCGAAAGAAGCUGCCUGAUCCAGUGGAGAAAGAGAGAGGGGUCAGUCUUUGGUCUAUGAUUAAAGAUAAUGUGGGAAAGGAUCUUACACGGGUUUGUCUGCCUGUUUAUUUUAAUGAACCAAUAUCUUCCCUUCAAAAAUGCUUCGAGGACUUGGAGUACUCUUACCUUCUGGAUCGAGCGUACGAGUACGGAAAAGCGGUAAGACUGAAAUUUAUGAAUUCUCAGUGUCUAGUCAGCCGUGCUCCGGAAUUUAUGUAUUUACAUUGGUGACAUGAGUGUGUGAACGAGUCUAGUUCAUGUUAUUAUAUACAUUCCACAAGAAGGGUAGUGCAUUUAAUCAUGCUUUUGAUGUGAGGAUCUACUAUUUGUCUUGUAAAUUCCGUUGCAUCAAGGCUUCGUACUUAAAGCCUACAUGCUGAAAAAUUCCCUCUUCAUAUUGUUGUGUAGGCUUAAGUUUUUUCGCCUCUUAAUUGUAGUCCUGUAUCCAUUAAAAAGAGUUACCUGUCACAAAUUGGAUGAUAUAUCAGCUUUUAUACUGAAUUGUAACGCACAGGAUGGGCCUCAUGGAUGUUUUGGGGGAUGGUUUGGGAUUGAGUUGUAGAAAGGAGAGGGCCUCUCCCAUUGCAUUUUAAUGUUUAGCAAUCUGGAUAUCUUUUGGACUCUUUGGCAUUUUUAAUGCUGUUAAAUUUUUUGUAAGCAUUAAAAAAGAUAUUAUACUUUUAUUUUUGUUAAAUCUUACAUAUGCUUCCUUUGGCCAUGUAAUACCAUCAGGGAAACAGUCUCCUCAGGAUUCUAAAUGUUGCUGCUUUUGCUGUCUCUGGAUAUGCUUCCUCUGAAGGCCGGCACUGUAAACCCUUCAAUCCUUUACUUGGUGAAACUUAUGAAGCUGACUAUCCUGAGAAAGGAGUCCAGUUUUUCUCUGAAAAGGUCAGUAUCUGGAAUUUAACCGAUUUGCCACCCAACAUGGUGAAAGAUAUAUUCAGCAGUUGCAAUUUUUUUUAUAAGAAUAUAUGCAGCAAUUGUAAUGAACUAUAGCAGACCAAUUAGCUAAUGAAUGGGCACUUUUCACUUCCCAACUGUAAGCAGAGAAUGGCCAUAUACAUUUUUGGCAGAGACUUCAGCUAAUGACAUUUGAAAAUUUUUGAAAAGGAUAGGAGUUCUGUUGGUGGCCAUCUGGAUGGUUGAAAGAAAAAGAAAAGAGCAGGAAAAAGGCAGGACCUCCAUUUUAUUUCCAUUCUCAGAGGGAAUCAAAUUUCCAUAAUUACAAUCCAUAAAUGUAUUUAGAUGACUUUUGUCAAGGCUUUAUGCAAUCUUGACAAGUGAAAUUUUUUUCAGAAGUCUGUCUAGGAGGAUUUUUUCUGAAGUAUUCCUUUGCUGUUCAGUGUAUAUAAUAGAUAAACCAUUAUUUAUAAAUAUGAUAACAUUCCCUAAAAACAUAGGAAGUGGAUGGGUUGGGCCUGGCAUACUUCAAAUACAAUUUGACCACUUUCUAAUAUUUAGGCUGUUAUGAUUUGAAUACGAAUGCAUCUGUUAUAAAGCAUACCCAUAGAUUUUACCAAACUAAUAUUUCAGAAUCAAAACAAAUUUCAGUAAUAUUUUUGAAUUGGAGCAGGUCAGUCACCACCCAACUGUUAUUGCCUGCCACUGUGAAGGGAAAGGGUGGAAAUUCUGGGGUGACAGCAACCUCCGGACAAAGUUUUGGGGGCGAUCAAUUCAGCUCGAUCCAGUUGGAGUUCUGACUGUAGAAUUUGACGAUGGUGAAGUGUUCCAAUGGAGCAAGGUGAGAGAUGCUGCAUGAUUGUGUUUAGGCUGCAUUUUAUAACUCCAUCUUUUAUGAUCUUCUCUUUGGUUUCUUUUUCUCUUUUUCAUAGAAUACUUUCAUGCUGUCUUAGGUCACGACGUCCAUUUAUAAUCUUAUCCUUGGCAAAAUAUACUGUGAUCACCAUGGGACAAUGGACAUUCAUGGUAAUUGCCAAUAUUCAUGCAAACUCAAGUUCAAAGAGCAGUCUAUUCUUGACCGAAACCCUCACCAGGUUAGUAAUACAUUUUUGGCAAAUUCUACUUUAUUUGUUGUCUUGGAAAGAAAGUACCCUUUGAUCAAGCUUGGUGCCGUAUUGGUUAAUUGCUUUACAUCUCUGUGGUUCUAAAGGCAGCUGCUGAAUUGGGAUAUUAUGAAACUUGAAAAACAAUUAUGCUAAUCUGUCUAACAACCAACUUCUAUGCAGGUCAAUGGGUUUGUUGAAGAUGUUUUGGGUAAAAAAGUAGCUACAUUAUUUGGGAAAUGGGAUGAUAGCAUGUAUUAUAUUAGUGGGGAUGGGUCUGGCAAGCUGAAGGAUGGCAAUGUCUCGCCUGAUGCCUCCUUGCUGUGGAAGAGAAAUAAGGCCCCACUAAAUCUCACUCGGUACAAUUUAACAUCGUUUGCAAUCACACUAAAUGAGCUAACGCCUGGACUGCAGGUAGAGAUAGUGUAUUAAAUCUAUCUCACAUGCCAUUUCUAUUUCCCUCAUAUGCAUAUCUAAUUGUUUCUUAUAGCUGUGUCUGAUCCCGGGUAUUUGAUCACGGAUUAAGGAGAAGCUUCCACCUACGGAUUCCAGGCUAAGACCAGACCAACGGCAUCUGGAGAAUGGUGAAUAUGAAAAGGCAAACGCGGAGAAACAACGAUUAGAAAGGAGGCAAAGAAUGGUAUGAUUGGUACCUUCCCUUUCUUCUUCACAUUAUUUUUUCAUUCAGCUUGAUAGAGUUUUAUAUUCGCUCAUGAUUUUGUAUCAUGUAUCAAAGAUGCUCAACUACAUGUUUAGAUAGUACAGUUGAUCCAUGGAUAAAUUUUCUAUAUUGGAUCCUGCAAAUUGUCCGAUUCCCUCAUCAUGUUCUUAGCAUUUCUUUGAUGGAUAAGUAUGAAAGAUUAUUAAUAGUGUGAACUGUGAAACAUUUAUAUGAUGCUAUUGAUAUGUGUCCUGAUAAUUUUAAUACUUCUCAGCAAGAAUCUCUACAUUUAGCCGGGAGUGGUUAUUUAUUAAGCCCACAUUUAUGAAGCGUUUACUCUAAUUCUUAUUUUAUAUCAAACUUCCUCUUAUUUUGCAGUCAAGAAAAUUACAAGAAAAUGGGUGGAAGCCUAGAUGGUUCCGGAGGGAAGGUGAAAAUGGAUCCUUCCGCUAUGUAGGUGGGUAUUGGGAAGCCCGCGAGCAGCUCAAGUGGGAUGAAUGUCCAAAUAUAUUUGGAGAAUUUUGUGAAGAUGUUCACAACUCUGAAGACUCUUGAAGUUAUGAAGGUUCGUACUUUCUUGCUUGGAACUUUACAUUUUUGUGUUUAGGUAAUAAAGCUUCUGUUCCAGCAGCAGUAGCAGCGACAAUCCACAUUUGUAUGGUCAGAAUUGAGCAUAGAGUCUGUGUAUUUUUAUCCAAGUCAAAGACUAUAAAUAUUUAGAAUGUCACAUCAUUUACAUGAACAAAUUCGCUAGAUUAUUUUUUCAGGUCAUUGAUGAAAUGCGAGCUGGUAUGCCAGCAAAAUGAAUAUAGGUUGUGAUUUUGCAGACAAGGGCUUUAGUCUUCUUGUUGCCUGAAUUCCACCAUCACCUAUUUGUGCUCUUAAUUUCCGAAUGGCUUUAUAAUGGCCAUCUUUUUUCUGUAACUUAAAAGUUUCAGAUGGAUAUCAGGGAGUAUAAGCCUUGCGAAGUUAUUGGACCAUUCAAUAAAUUAUUAAAUUUUCCUUUUGUUUUCUUUGUUCCUCAAUUCCGUCUGAGAUCAAAACGACGGGAAACUACCUGCCUGAGGGACAGUGGAAAAUAAUAUGCUUAUUCCCACCAUAGCUUAUAUUUACUGUUUUGUAGAGACCUCAUGGCUCUUGACUUUCUGAUUAUGCAGAUGAGCGAGUUCUCAUAACUGUUUUGGAGCAGGCUGUAAAAGCAAGUGGUCCGGUUGCUCAUGAUUCUUCAGGUUUGCCGAAGUUAUAGUCGGGUAAACAAAGUCAUUCCCUGUAACAUUGGAAUGAAGAUACAGAUGAUCAAUAGGCCAGCCUAGUAUUUCCUUAUUGAAUUCAAGUUUCUGUGAGCAAGGGGGUUGGCGGGAAUCGUUCGUGUAAUGUAGUCUAUGUCUCGCUCCAUAGUUCAUUCGUAGUAGUUCCUUCAACACUAGUAGCCUCUGGCUGGCAAUUUCGUUUUGUUAUUAUUUAUAUUUUUGUUAGGAAUAAAUAAUAAUAAUAAGAAUAAGAAUAAGUAUUUUAGCUAUCAUUCGAAAAUAGAUCCAACUAUCAUUAUGUGAUUUUUCUACUCUUCCACACACAUGCGGAUGAUGAAUAACAUUGGGGUCGCCAUUUUUUGUGUUAUUUGAAAUAAGGACAGUUUUUCUUUCAUUUGCACGAAAUAGGUCCCUGUUGAAACAACCAACGUUACCUUCAUGAAUUGGAUUGUAUGUGACUUAACAUAUUUCAGUUUUUCUAAUGUAGGUUAGGGAAAGUCUCACUAAUGAUAAACUAGAGGUGAUAAAAUAGGUUAUGGCAUGAUUACACAAUAUGGAUAUUACCUGAUUUUUAAGUUAGGUAUAUACUAAUGAUAAAUUAGAGGUGGCAAAAUAGAUUAUGACAUAAUUACACAACGUGGAGGCAACAUGAUUUUUUAUUUUUCAGUAUUCGUGUUGAUAAAUAUUGACAUGAUUGACAAGUAGAUUGACACGACAAUAAAUAAUUGUCUUAGACCAUCUCAGAAGAUUACAUGUUUAUAACAGGAAUAUCAAAUAAUAUGUGGUUAUGUUAUUAAAAAAAUGAACUAAUAUAUCUAUUGAACACUCAAUUAAUUAUUGGUGUUAUAUCCAUAUUGUGUUAUAAACUUAUUUAUGUUAUGUUAAUUUAUUUAUGAUCUAUUUUUAACAAUAAUAUUGACAUAUUUUAUAUUUCUUAAAAUAAUUUUUAAUUUUUUAAUUAAAUAUGUUAAAUUGGUCAACAUGAAUGACAAGAUUAAUAAUGGUUUGUGUCCGUGUUUUGAUAUAAUUAAUAAAUAAGUUGUAUUCGUAUUUAUUUAAAUUUGACACGACGCAAAUAAAUUACGACACGAACAUGAUAUGAUUAUAUAAAUUGACACCCCUAUGAUAAACUAUGUCCUUUGAGAAAAAGUGAAAAUGAGUACUUAGUAAAGAAAAAUUAAAUCGUGAAAGUGUUAAAAAAGAGACAAAAGCAUUGUCCACGAAAAAAAAUGAAUGAUUAACGUUUAUUACUCGUUUUCUUAACGUUCUACAACCCACUCCCAAUAUAAAUCAAAAGAAUGAGUCCAAAGCAAAACAUAAAAUUUAGAAGUUUGUAGGAAAAAAAAAAAAAAGAUAAAGGAAAAUAUAAAAUUUAGAACCCAACGUAGAAAACUAGAAAUCCUAAAUAAUGUAACUACUACAUUUAUUAUACUUUAAAAAUGAAAAAUAAAUAAAUAAAUAGAGUCAUCAUAGAGUGAGAUUAGAAUGGAUUUAAGAAAGAAAAACAGUUAAAAGGAAACACGUAAAAUAGAUUGAUUAAUUUAUAAUGUGGAGUUUAUCUAGCAUCAAGAAUCUCUUCUAAUUUGUGGAAUUUUAACAGCUAUAUUUUUUAAAAGGGGUUUCAUAACAUAAAUUGGGGUUGGGGGAAGGCUUGAGCCGUUAAGUGGCUUUGGUGCGACUAUAUUUGCAUCUACUUAAAGUCCCCCAUCGGACCAGAAUCCUGGAUUCAUAUUCAUCUGGGCCAGAUUUAAUUUCCUUGCAGACUACCUUGGAUUAAUAACAGUCAGCCCGAGAUAUAUCCAUACAAAAUCAUUGGGAUUCAGUCUGUUCAAAAGAACAGUAGAUCUUUUGACGCCCUUCAAAAUUUCUUCUAAAACCUCUUUCAUUUAAAAUUAUUAAAAUAACCAAUGUCAAAUUAUUUCAUUUCUUAUUUUAAAAUUAAAAUUCAAUUGUUAAUUUAAAUGAAAUUUUCUCUUAAAUGAUUUUUUACACCCUUCUCAUUUCAUAAAUUAGAUUUAUAUUUUAAAUUUUAAUUGGAUUUUUUUUUUUAAUGAGAAACUGAUAAGAGUUGAGGAUAUAGAGAUAUAAACUAUAUAUUAAGAAAAAAAUGAUUUAAGAUUUUAAAUUUUUAUAUAUUUUAAAAUAAAAAAUUUAAAAGAAAUAUUAUUUUUAGAGAAAAAUUUUAUAGUAAGAUGGUUGAUUUUAAUAUAUAAUCAAUAUUUUACUGCUUAAACAAGGGGUAUUUCUUAAAAUACAACUUAAAGAGAUUUGUUAUAAGAAUUGUAGUGGGGUGUUAAAAGAUCCACUUUCAAAAUGAUGAACCUCAAAGUCAAAUGAGGCCUUUCUUUUGGGAAUAGGCUGCUGCUGCGGCUAACUAGUGUUAAUAGAUACCUCUUAACACGGGCUGUUUCCUUUUCUUUCUUUCAAUGUUUUUUUUUAAUCUUUUUGAUUCUUCAAAUUUCAAAUUUAUCAUAUUUAAAAAAAAUCAAAUUUAUUAAGAUAUUCAUUUGUCUAGUUAAUUUAUUCAAUAAUGCUACACAUCCCAAAUUUCUUAUCCCAAAAAGUUAUCCCAAAUGAUGUGUCAUUAAUUGAGUGGUUGAUAAUUAUUUACAAUAUCCAAGUGAACUAAUUGUAUUAUCUCACCAACCAAUUGAUAAAUGCCACAUCAUUUGAGAUAACUUUUUGGGAUAAAAAAUUUGGGAUGUGUAGCAUUAUUGUAAUUUAUUUAUGUCUUGGAUUGGAACCAAUAAAUAUUUACGGCUGCUGCGCCUUUUAAUGGAUAGAUUAUGUCUGGAUUCCUGAGGUCAUGUUCCUCACUUUGGUUAUAGUUGUAUUUUGAUUUGUUAAUCAAGAACAAACAUCACCAUCCGCCGAAUAAUAAAUUCAUUUCAUCACUUGCCUCUUUUGGAAUCUAAGAAUAUGUAUAUACAACACCAUAUUCAAGUAUUCCACGACCUGACAUUUAUCAUUCCGAGGCUUAUUUCUAGGAUUUCAAAACGAAUUAUUAUUAUCUCUUAAUCUAAACCCUUUCAAAGUUUAAAGAUGUUGUAUAACCACGAUAUUUUGUCUAUGAGAAGCUCAAUUUAGGAGAAAAUUAUAAUUCUUUAUAUAAUAAGUAAAUGAUGUUAUGAUAUGUGUACAUUUAUUUUAAAAAGUUACUAUAUAAAUAGUAGUUAUAUUAAAUUUAAUUACACAUAUAAUAUAUUUAUUAAUUGAUUGUACUACCUCUAAUAUAUUUUAUAAUUCAUCCGUAAAGUCGUUUACUAAUAACCCGAUUAUUUGACUGUAUUAGUGCGUUGGAUGCAGGGCAUAACCAUAAACUUGAGUAUAGAAUGAAAUUCAAACAAUUGAUUUGCAUGAAGUUCAAAGCCUAUCCAUUGAAGAAUUGGUUUUUGAAACUGACAUGCUACCUAGAAUUUGGCAUGUUCUUAUAUCUUAUUAGUCCUAUCAUUACCUGCUACAUGCAUGGGAUACACUUGACAAAUAAGAGAUGAUUGCGUUCAAAAGAAGAUCUUUCUAAUGUGUAUUUUGCUUGCACGAUUGAUCUUAAUUGCUGCUCAGUUGAUUGCUCACUUAGGUAUUGUUUGGGAACAAAUGAAAGACUAAUAGGAGGAUGUCACAUGUCGAUGAAGCUUAGAAAUAGAAGAGUUACCAAGAGGAAGUUAGCUUACACUGGGAACACCCGAGGUAAAAAUAGAAAACAGUCUCCGCCAGAUUCUAACAUGUGUAUAUGUGAACAAAUAAUAUAAAUAAUGAACAAAUUUAUUCUCCAAGUAUGCUCCAAGGGUCCAAACGGCCAUAGGCAUAAAAGGAUAAGAAUAUCCUUCCCUGUGAAAGAAACGCACCAAUAAAUUAAUGCUAGAUGGCAUGGUGACAGAAAUACCUUAGACACAUUCCACAUAUAAAUGCUUAAGUUUUCACAUUUUUUCCUAAGCAAUACACACAUAAAAAAAGAAAAAAUAAAAAAGGCCUAGGUUCGUCUUCAACCUUGAGCCAAUACUUUUUUUUUUAGAGUUGUCAAGCUCCUGACACUAAAAAAGAAUCUAAAACUAACUUGAGUAUCGGAGUGCGGUCACCAGCCACUACUGGCUCUACCUCUAAACUUUUUAUCCAUUUUACAAGAUAAUUAAGCUCCCAAAAUCACCUCUUUCCAGAUUCAUUCUCUUUCUAGCAAACUCACCACACUUGUUCUCUCUUGAGCUUCACGGAAGGUCCAAAUAGAUAGCACACCACAAUUAUGCUAGGCAUAAAACUCCCAUUAUUUAUAAAUUUAUUGUAUUUAUCUAGAUUUGCAACUUACCCCAAAACCUAGUUAAAACAGAUAUAAUUAAAUAGCAUGCUAAUUAAACUUGGAACAGGAGCAGCAGCAAAUGAGAAGAUGCCAUUUAGCCAACUGGCAAAUAUUGAAAUACAUGCACAAGUAUUGGAUCCAAUCUAGAGAUUUCACGUGGUUACAUAGGAGCAUGGGCAUUUUGAUGCAUGCCAAAGAUGUUCGAUCUUUUAGGGGUCCCGUUAUUUGAAUUCAAGGAACAAUUUGAGGAGUUGUGCGCCGUCGUUCGCCUGUAGAAUCCUUUGAUGAACCGCAUGUACAUGGUAUGAUGGUAGGCAAAUAUAAUGUUAAAUGAAUAGUUUAAACUUCGAGAGGUCAGAGAUGCCUCGUUGAAAUAAAACAACUGCCCAUCGAAUCUAUUUGUGUAGCUGUUGUCUAUUAUUGUGUUGCAACCCUCAUCCGUUCUACGAUCGAAAAUAUCUCAAUUGUGGGGCACUUUUCACUAUCCAAACUUGAGAAUAUUUAAUGAUUUUUCAAUUCAUAUUGUGAUUAUAAUUGUUGAUGACGAUUUUCGGCAUUAACGAAUGAAUUUGCUUAGGACAAUACUUAGCCUUAGGCGUCUUGCGUCUCACCAAAGGGGGAUCAUAAUAGAGAAAAAAAAAAUUUGGAAAGGCCAUAACAUAGAAACAAUGAACCUGAGGGCACCGCGCGUAAAAUAAAUUUAAGAAAUAAGAUAAAUUUUAGCUAAAGCCCUAAUCUUUCCCUUCUUUAGUGUUUUUUUGGCUCUCAUACCGAACUACUUGGAAAAUGGUUCUCGUUGUUCACCAUGAUUCGUAUGGAUGACAUUUUGGCUACUCUAUCCUUUAUCUAUGUACAUGAUGAUUUUACUUGAGAUCCAUUUAGUAUAACUUUUCAAAUAGAGCUUAUACAAAUAGAGUUUUUAUUAGUACAAUUUUUAUAAGUAGGGCUUUCACCAAAAAAAAAAAAAAAAUUGUUUGGUUGUCAAUUAAAACUUUUAUUAAAAAUUAUAAAUUACUUUAAUAGGCAAAUUAUUCAAAUUUAUGUUAUUAAAGGAAUAAAAUAAGAUUACUAAAUAAGUAAAGGAUAUUUUAGAUAUUUUAAGAAAUAUCUUAUUUAAUCUUUAAAAGUUUUACUAAAAAAAUAAUUAAAUAACAACAAAAAAAUUAAAAAGAACUUAUAAGAUUAAAAAAUAAAUUAAUAACCAGUCAUAUCAAACAGACACUUAGGAAAUGAUAUGAUUACGAGGGAAUUUUAUUUUUUCAUGGAUAGUGUCAUUGACUGAGUCAUAACUUUGUAUGGGAAUAAAAUUAAAGUUGUAUAAUAAUAAUUUGUCCUAAUAGUAUAACUCUCAUGAAUAAUACUAAUAUGUGUACUCAAAUUUUUUUUUACUUUACUAAUUAUCUUCACAUGCUUAAUUUUCUAUGGAGAUAAAAUUUCAGCUCAUAUCAUAGAAGAUGAUUUUGGACUUUAUCAUCUUACUAAAAUAACAAUGACCGUUAAUUGCUUUCCGUCUACAUAGACUUUAGCAUGUGUGAUAUAAGGUUAAAUUAUUUGUCCUUUUAUCCUCGUCUGCAAACAAGUUUGUAGUGAAGUGUUGGAACUCAAUAAUAUGUUAAGGCCAUAAUUUUUCCAAAAUAUUUGGUAGUUAAUUUUGUUUGACAAUUUACUGUGAAGAAAUUAAUUAAAUAUUGUUGAUCUUAGCAGGGGAAAAAAAAAGCCAAUUUUUUAGCCCGAAUGAAGCUAAUUUGAAGCAUUCAAUUUUAUAAAUAAAUUUUACCGGUUGGAGUUUCGUAUGAAUUUACAAAUCACAAUCGUCAAAAGAUAUGUUAGGUUGAAUUUGAAUAUAAGGACAAUGAGAGAGCAUUAAAAAACUAAACCCAAGAAAAGUUUUCUUCCAAAAGCAGUCGUAGAUACUUGAUAGUAAAACCCUUUGCAAUUAAUUAAGUUUCCAUCCUCUUUUUUCUUUCAAUUCUUCAUUGGUUGAUUACAUAAAAUUUAUAUGCAGUGAUGAUUUGUAAUGCUAAUAUUGGUAAUCUAACAAUGCUGUUAAACAUAAUCACCAUCCGUAGAUGAAAGCAAGAUUGAGUUGUUAAAUAUUUGUGGGGAAUGAAAUUUUAUCGAAAACUGUAAUUGCUGUACUUUUAAAAUUAAACUGAAGUACAGACACUUGGUGUGUAUAGCUAACCAAAAGAACAUUUUGUUCCUUUUAAUAGAAGUUGCUCCUUUCCUUUUUUUUUUUAUACAUGUAAAGGUUACAAACUUAUUAAAACCCAAAAAGACUUUGUACCGAUACAUAUUACAAAAUUCAGGAAGAGACCAACCCUUGUUAAUGGCAGGCGGGCUCUGGUUCCUCCAAUUCAAUUCCCUCCUCUGCAAGCCUCUUAUCCUUGUACACAUACCAUCUAGCAAAGGCCAAGUAUAUAACAAAGUUCAAAGCGCUCAAAAUUGCCAACAGCCAGUAGAAAUCAUAUAGCCUCCCUUGGUUUAAAUUGUCUGCUAGCCAUGGCUUCUUAACCCCUGUCACUUUGUGCACCAGAGAGACCAAUAAAGAGCUAACGAAAAAUCCUAGUGACAGUGUACUCAAAAACAAUCCUGUACUCAUGGUCUUCAUCCCUUUUGGACACUCCCUUAGGAAAAAAUCAAGCUGCCCUAUGUAAGUGAAGGCCUCUCCUGCACCCACCAAGAAAAAUUGAGGCACUAGCCAGAACACGCUUAACGGGAUCUCGGCCGUUGGAUCAUUUGUCAAACCGUGUGAUCUUGCGGCUCUCAAUCGCUUUAUUUCACAGAGUGCUGCUGCUACCAUCGCAAAUAUUGAAAGCACUAGACCAACACCAAUACGUUGCAGUGGGGUGAGUCCUUGUGGGGUCUUAAAAACUUUUCUUGCAAUUGGAACUAUGAUUCGGUCGUAAACUGGAACAGUCAAUAGAAUGCUGCCAACAAAGAAGAAUGUCAAUGAAGCUCCAGGGAUUUCGAAACUGCCAAUGUGACGGUUCAUUGUUGUUGCUUGAGAUACUGAAAACGUGGUCAUUUGGGCAUAGACCGUCCAAAAUAUUAUAGUGGUUGCCCAAAUAGGCAGCAUUCGGAUCACCAUUUUCACUUCUUCAACAUCUGUUAAGGUUGCUAAGUUCCAUUUAUUGAUCACCACGGCAGUGCUAUUACUCAUAUCUGAGUCCUUGAAUAUUGCUGCCUUGUCCAAGAAACUGCACACAAGAUAAGCCACACCAAAUAUUAAUGUCAGAAAUUAAUAAUCAGAGAUUAUGAGUAACUAUUAUUAAAUUUUUAAUUGGAUUCUGAAUAUGUCGUUUUACUAUUAAUAAACUGUGAUGAAAUGCAAGAGGACAAGUAAUAUGUCCAUGGGUGAGAACUUUCAAUUUAUAUCAUCAAUAUAUAUGUGUAUAUAUAUAAUCCUUCUCUCCUAGGAUAUACUCACUUUUUGUUUGAUAAUAUAUAUAUUAUCACUUUUUGUUUGAUAUAUAUAUGAUCAAGACAAGGAGCGUGGGGAUCGAUCAAGCGACCAGACUGCUGGCUUCGUGGCUCGAGAUCUUUUUAUGAUUCUUUUGUAAAAUGGAUGGUAGCUAUUGUUUAAUGCAUGUUGCAUUGAUUCUUAAUCAUUUUGUUAUUCACAUAAUCUCAUGCGAUUCAAGCCGAGCACUUCUGUUUCUUUACAAGCCAGGAACCGCUGCUGUAAAUAUUAGGAAGGAAAAUCCAAAACUAACCCUUGUCGCAUGUGGUAGAAUCUCAAGGGUAUCAAAAAUUUUAUGUACCAAAAAUAAUAAUAGAAAAUAUGAGAUUCGGUGCAUUCCAUAUCCAAUAAUGCACCUGUUUCGAAUAAAAAAAUGAUGGUUACUCCGAAGAUAACCCAAACUUGUCACCGAUCAAUUCAAAAAUAAAAAUAUCUUUUUAAAUUUUAGUGAUUUUUUUGUUUUGUUGGGUCCAAACUGGGACCCCAUUAAUUCGGUCAGUAUAUCAGCACUAAAAAAAAAAAAAAUUUCCAAUAAUACAUGUGAUAAGGACAAGUCACAAGCAACAAAUAUGGUAGCUUGUACCGCCAUGGCAAGAGGAUUUCCAACAUCUCCUCUAAGCUAUAAUUGAUGGAAAAUAUAGCAGCACAUGUCAUGGUGGAUUCAUCACAACAGCUAGUUGAUUAUUAUAAUUAUUGUAAAUAUUGUCUUUCCUUAUACAGCAUCUGGAACAUGCAUAUCCCCCAAGGGCAACUGUUUUAAAUAACCUAAAAAAUCAUAGAAGAAGAGACUGUCGCUUUAGGCUCUGGCAGAUGACAUAUGUCUAGCCCGGUACCCUUGGCAUGUGGUAUGUAAUGAAUUGUCUCUAAUCUCGUGACAGAAAAUAGCUAGAAAAUUGUGUCCAUUAAUGGGCAAGAUGUGGCAACAUCAAUGAUCAAUGAUCAAUCUCCACAGACAAGGGCCGAUGAUUAUGACUCCUAAAUCAAUAAUUCUGGUCUUUGAUUGAUCUAUGAACUAUAGUUGGUUGUCAAUCGCCCAUCAAAAACGGCCCACCCCAGUAGAU
rnacentral:lncRNA from 1 species